ensembl:lncRNA
AGCUGGGGAAGUUAAUUGCUUCCUAUACACACCCCUCCAUGCAGAGCAUAAAAGGGGUGUGCUGGGAGGGUUAUGGUUUGGCAGGAGGAAUGAGAUAGGAAGGAAGCUGUGUCCAGUAGUAGAGAUGAAGUCUGAACAUUCUACUUGCUGGUGCUUGCCCAAUAUUUCUUCAUAUUGACUGGAUUGUGUCUCGUAAAUGCUGCUAAUCCAAUGAACACUGGAACGUAUUUCUUGGAUGAUUUUUUUCAAGGACUCAGGUCAGGAAGAAUCUACCCCAAGGGUAGUUGGAGGGAAGAAAAAAUAACAAGGCAUGGUGGCACCUGGGGACCACAACAUUGUUCACAUCCUCUGUAAUCAUCAGUGCACUGCUCAGCUGCUUUGGGUGAAUUUCUCAUACUCAUAACCACCAAUUCCCAGGUAGUGAAAGCUGCAAGAACCCUUCUUGGCUUCCAGGACUUCCUACAAAGCUUCCUCUUUAAUGUGAGAUUCAGCCACCUCAUUACAAAAACUAAAAAUCUGACUGUCUGCUAAGGUAAUAAUUUUUAACUGUUUUUGUGUAAGUGAUGCUAAAUACGAAAAAAAAUAAAAUAGCUAUGACCAGGAAGUUGACAUGCUCUUAUUUUGGAUUCUCCAGUACCAGGUUGGAGUUCAUUGUUUCCUGUCCAGUACAUGUUUACGUGGCUGUUGUAGUUUCUUCUGGAACAGCUUUUGUGGGUUUCAGUUCAGGCGGCGAUUUAUGUUGGUGCUGAAAGUACUGCCAGCACAGCUACAGGAGACCUCCUGAGCUCUGGGGCUCUAAAUCUCCUGCCACUUGACAUUAGUGAACAUCAACUCUGUUUCCAUUUUCCACAAGAAGAAAAAAAAUAGACUUUUUUUAAUUUUCCUUUUUUUUUUUUUUUUUUUUUUUUUUUUAAGCUAGGAGAGGGGUAUGUUAGUAACUGAUACCAAUGUGACCUCUGUCUGACUGACAGAAGGUUCAUCACUGCGUACUAUACCUGUCACCACAGUAAUGUAUGGAGUCUCAGCUGCCCAGUGAUUGCGAAGUGAAAAUUCCCAUCUCUGACCUAUAAGUUGUAACCUUUGGAUGCAUUGCAUGAAAUGCAGCUUCAGUGGUGAGCUGUGCAGUUGUUGACAAGGUGUGGAAAAUGAAUAUGAAAUAAGAUGAGCGUUUUCCAGCUUCCCUAUUCAACAGCAGCUUCUGACUGUCUGUUUAGUGAAACACUACCAAUAUGAUAAAGGAGAUAAAGAAGACCUUUAUUCCAGAAGGUAGCCUGAAAGGAAUACUUUUCUACUGGGAAUCUGGAUCUGGAUACCAAAGGUUUCAAAUGCCUUCUGUGUUUUGCAAAUUAUUAUGUGACAGCUAAAAUUAUACGAAAACAUCUUUCUUUUCUAGAUGAUUUCACAUUCCCAACAAAUUACUUUACUUACUCUUUUAACAUUCAUGUUCUAAUUGUGUAUAGAAUAUAUUAUUUUUUAAUAAAUUUACAAAGCCUGGGAAAAUCCAUGUGGAAUUUGUAUCCAUAGAGGAGUUCUCAUCAAACAACUAAUAUUGUGCUUUUGUCAGCUGAAAGCUGGAAUGGUUCCUACAUAUUAUCACUUGAUUAAAGCACACAGAUAGUGAAUUCCCAAAGAAAAUCAGAAAUUGCAUGAGCAUUUGGUACUGUUUCAUUCUGUGUUCAGAAGGAUACAGGUGGUGAAGCCAAUGAGCUACAGAUUUACUGAGACUAGAUAACCAUAUAUUAAAAACAAACAACAACAACAAAAGAAUCCCAGCUCAAUUCUGGCCGUAUCUAAUAUUAUAAAGUUACUUUAUUUGGUCUGGACUUUAUGAGAUAAAUUAAAUUAAGCCACACUACAUGCAGUCCAUUUUUGUCUUUUAUGGGAGAACCUUUCUAACUUUCUUCUGUGAUAAAGAAAUUCAAUGCAUCCUGUCAGGGUGAGAAGGAAGGAAAUCAGUUUUAUUGAAAUAAGAACAAAAUGAUAGUGUCAGAAACUGUAUCCAAGAGAUAAAAUAUUACAUCUAAUAAACACAUUACAUAUGGGAUUAGACAUGGGCCUCUAGAAUUACAGCACAACAGAAGUUAUAGGAAAACACUAACAUUAGUAUUGAAAAAUAAUGACUAGAGUUCCUAUUGUGGUUAAGAAAGCAAUAUUUGCAUUUUUAUUAAAGGAGCUUAAACAGGAGGAAAAGCUUGCUAUCCUUGAAUGUUAGUUUUUGUUUGAGGCCUAAGUCUGAAAGCCUUGCUCCUGCCUUUUAUUUCAGUGAUCUAAGUAGAAUUACUUCCGUGGGUUACUGGACCACUUGGUGAGUUCAUUAUGUUAACUGAUAAUAUACAGUCUUCAAAGACAAAAAAAAAUAGUAAGUAACCAUCCAUCGCUUCUGGAUAGCCAACAUUUCUACCUUCAAAAGUAUUUUCCCCUCACUGUCCAUUCAGAGGCAGGUAGCCAAUUUAUUGCCUGGGACUAAAAGCAUGCUACAGAUGUACAGAGACUUCACUACAACUUGAUGUGGCCAACAUUGCUUAAUUAAGCACAUAAUCAAUCACUCAUGCCUUCUCCUCCCUCUUACAUCUCUCCUUAUCACUUCAUAAUUUCCAUAUCCCUGCCAACAUGAAGUGAAACAGCAGCAUCUAAACAUCCACCCCCUCUUUCGUCAGCCCAGCAUUGUGCUGGCUGUUUCUGUAAUCAUAAAACUUGUAAGCAUGCACAGCGUAUACAUUGAAAUGUUACUCCAGAUGCAGCUUCCUUUGAGUUCAGCAGAUCUUUCACCACUGAAAGACCACUUGUCCUGUUUUUUGAAGAAGUUGCUGGUGUAGUUCCAGCAGCUGUUACCUUAGAGAGGAAUGGUGAAUUUGCAAAUGCCAAACUGGAGUGAGGUGACUGGUUCUUAGCACCACUUAGAUUUUUUUAUGACUUUACAGAAAACAUGUGGUCUGCCCAAGAGAGGAAAAAGAAAAAAUAAACAAAAAACCCACUCAUGUUGUCUGGGCAUCCAUUCAGGUAUCUGACUCUGGGCUUGGCGUUCCUGUAACUCUCCUGCCCAUCUAUCCUGUGUUGCAGGGCUCUAAGCCUUUAUGGGAACAACUUGGGCAGGCGUGUCUGAUCAGCACUCAAAUAGUGUCAGAGGACAGCAUGACAGGAUGCGUGGCUGUUGCCUCAGGCGAAAAGCCUAGCCACCCGUUUCCAGCUGCCCAUGUGUGUGGCUGGAGAUGGAAGACUCAAGCUUUCUCUCCCACUGUUAUCAGUAUUUCCACAAAGCCGUGGUAACCUACACAUGUUAUGGUGUGCAAAGAACAUGCAAAUCAGACUUGUACUUCAGCAUUGCUUUGCACCUAUGCUUAGAAUGUAGCAAAAAUGUAAUCUCCACACCUAAGUUCUCUACAAAAUAAUGAUAGCCAUCCUUUCUUUCUCACACCCUUUGCAUGUAAUUAUCUAUUUAACAUUCAGAAUUUUUGUCUCUUCCCAUGUUUUCCAGAGCCUAGCACAAUUUGAACCUGAUCAUAGGCAGGAUCUUUGGACACUGCUCUAAUGCAAAUAAUUCUAAUGAUAAGAGUAAUGCCCCAUGGGUGUUACAAAGCUAUCCUAGUAUACAAACCUGAUUGUAAUUUUAUUUAGAUUUUAUAUUACUGGCUAAGGGUGUUUAUCUUCUUGCCAUGUGCAGACAUGUAGUUAGUGCACACUGGCUAUGGGUUUCCAAGAUAAUGCAAUGCAAACAAAUCAUAUAUCGUCUGAGAAUGAGUCAGGCCGACAUUUCAACUUGAUUUGAUUUACUGUCACCUGUGUUGCAAUGACUAUUAGUCUGUUGAAAUAAAAAAAGAAAGGAAAUAAGGGCUUUUAAGGCUGGUGUGGGAAAAUACCUGUUAUAUAAGCAUUUUUGUAUCACAGAAGGAAUAAAAAAAGGGGGUUAGAAGACUUACAGCACUUGAAAUUUAAAAUGUGAUGCCUCCUCAAAAAAAAAAAAAAAAAAAAAAAGUGUUACGUUUGCCUUGAUGACAAGGUGAAUUCCCCUGAUAAGUCUGGUCUGAUUUAAUUCUUGUCCAUGCUCCAGCCUGACUUAGAGUGGUAGAAACAAGUGGAAUUCCACCCAUAGUAAGUUCAGGAUGGUCUUUCCCAAUGCACAGUACUGUAGCAUAGGAAAAACUCCAAAUUCAGGUCUGGAUGGAUUUCUUCACCACUGACGGCUAAAGUGAAAACACUGAUCCAAAUCCUCCUGACUGGUGGAGGGAUCUGACACUCUCAUCUGCCUGGGGUGGUCAGGCUUUGAUCCACGCUGUAAUGCUAAAAACAUAUAGAAGUUUAAUAGCUUUCCAUAUGAAGGCACUUUCAGAGCACAGAGUAGGAAACAGUGCAUUAGGUUGUUUUCCAGGAUGAAUAAUAUAUAUUUUCCUAAAUCACUGGUUGGCAAAAAUUCUGCCUUCACUCCCCUCUAGCCUCAGCCAGGCUGGCACUCCCCUAUGUAUUAGUUUUGUGUUUUGCCGACUGGACCAGGAACUGAAAGCUGUGUCGACUGGUAGUCUAUUUUGCUGGGUGUUUUUGCUGUGGAUACACUCUGAACUGCUGGAAUACCUGCUGCUCUUGAGCACAGAUAACAAGGUAAUGUAAGAAAAGAUUUCAAAGGAGACACACAGACAUGUUGUCUCAUACCUUUUCUGCUCCUCAUUAUUUAAAGUCUGAGAGAGAGAUGUGGGGGAAAAAAGAGCUCUUCACUGGUCCCGUGGGGCUGCAAAGACAUCAGCUCGUGAAUAUUUCACAAGUGUAUCUCUGUCCUGUAACAUUGCUGUACAGUUAUCUGCAGUUCAAAGGUAAGGACAACAAGAGAUGUUGUAUAUUUCAUUACUGAGGCAAGCACAAGAGCUUAAUUUUUGCACUGACAAAAGCCAGUUUUUUUUUUUUUUUAAUUCAGUUAUUAUGUUAUCUCAAUGACAAUGAGAUAUAGUUUAAAUCUUAAAUCUAAAUCAUUAGUCUAUGAUCUCAGUUUGCUGCAUCUUCUGCACAUCUAGUGAAUCUCUAACCUGCCAGGUACAGUCCAAAGUCAAAGACCUUGUUUUAAACUGCCUCUAAAUGGCAAAUGGCAAGGUUUAUUUUCUGUUUUACAGACUCAGUUUUGGUAUAUCUGUACCGAUUAUGCUUUCCAUAACACUAGCAUUUAAACAAAUUUCAAAUAUGCAGCCCUCUUGCAAGCAGUCCUAUAGUUGUGUAUUUGAAAAUCUUUAAUGGGAUGGUCCAAGACACGGCUCAGAAUACGUUUGCUGUGGUAACUGUGACUGCAUAAUCUCCAAAUUCUGGGGAGCCUUGCUUAUUUCUGGAGACAAGAAUGUAUUUUCCAUCUCAAUUCUCUUCUCUUUUCCUUCUGUUUCUUCCUCAUCCCGGAAGGAUUUGCCUUUUUCUCUUCAGCUGACUCUGAUUUCAUCGAAGUAGUUUUGAUAGUGAAAAAUUUAGAAGAAAUGGAGCUUGCCUGCAUGAAAAGAAAGGAAAGCAAGAGGAACCACACAAAGGAAAAGUGAAAUAACAAGCAAAAUGCAAAAUACAAAUUGCUUUUACCCAUCUUGACUGGCAAACAAAGCAAAACAGCAUCAGCAUGCACUGGAGUGCUUUGUAAGAUACAUGUUGUUAAAGAGCCUUGUGUUUUCAGUUAGCUGAUUCUGUAAUAAAAAUUGUUGGUACUGGCAGAAUUGCAUCAUUGUUCUUAGCAAGAAAAAGCAAUUUGGCCUAUUGUUUUCAGAAACAGUUUUCUCUUAUAAAAACAAUAUAGUUGUUUAACCUAAAUAUAAACACAUCUGAUGUCAAUAAUUCUAUAUACAUUACAGACAGUUACAUGGUCUUUAACAACUGUCAGUGCUAACAGAUAAAUUCUACUUUGCUGCAUUUGCUCAUUUAUUACCAAGAUUAAAAGGCACCAUCGUUCCUGUUGGCUCUUGGUGCUCUCUGCAGCACUUCUUGGUGCUCUCUGCACACAUGAAUUCUGGCAUUUGAGAUCUGGAAUCUUUCCUCCAUGGGACUAAAAGUGCUGCUGCUGUGACUGUUCCCUUCCAGCCUGACUGCUGCAGUUCAAAAAUUUCUGGGGAUAUGUAAUUAAUAUGUUUAGCACUGAAACACUGUAUAAGAGUGAUAGAAGAAGGGGGAAUGGCUUUAAACUAAAAUAGUGGAAAUUUAGGUUAGAUGUUACCAAAAAAUUCUUUACUCAGAGAAUGGUGAGGUGCUGGGACAGGCUGCCAGAGAAGCUGUAGGUACCUCACCUCUAGAAGCGUUCAAGGCUGGGUGGGAUGGGGCCCUGGGCCCCAGUCUGUUGGGGGGCAGCCAGACCAUGGCAGGGGGUUGGAACUGGAUGGGUUUUAAUGUCCCUGUACUUUGCCAUGAUUAAGCACCUUGUUUCUGAGCAUGGAUGCAACCACAUAUGCACAUCUAGACCCUCUAGGAGACACAGCACACCUAUCAGUUAGCAGGUUGAUUCUGGCUGACAGGGAAAUGCCAAAAAGUACAUUUGUGAUGGCACCUCUUUGUUUUAUAAAGAAAAUGGAGCCCCGGAGAUGAAAGGGGAUCUGGUCACAUGGGCCCCAGCACUGCCGUUCUGAGUCAUGACUGGAGACACAUCAGUAGUAAGACCACAGAUAAUGAGCUAUGGUUGGAUCAAAAUGCUGAUAAUGCAUCAAACUACUUCAGUGCAGAUUUGGAGGCUGCUAGUCAUAAUAUAAUAGAAUACAAUGGAACUCUGAAUAUUGUUACUCAUAGAGAUGAGUGCUCAGGUGCUUACACCUCCAUGAAUAAAACCACAUAGUUCUCAUGGAAGUGGGAUUCAAUAUAAAAUCACUCCAGAAUAUGUCUAUAAGCAUCAAAGACACAAUUUGAUUCCUUUGUCCUUCCAGAGAACUUUCCUUCAGGUUACUUUCAUGUGAGUUUUAAUAGUAAGUCCUAAAAUGCCAGCAAGGCAUCAAAUUGCACAAAACUUCAACUCAAUUUUUCUGUUUUAAAGAGCAUUAUAUUUUCCUUGUUAUUUCUACUUAGAUUUGUAAGGCAAAAAUUAGCAAUUAAAAGUAGUGUUCCUAUACUGUAUCUAAAACAGGUUUAGUGCAUCCUGGUUUAAAUCAGCGGAAUGUUCUUAGGGUGUGGCUGAAAUACCUUACAACUUCUUUAAAAUACCUCAUUCAUGUGUGAUUAAACAGCAAGGCAUUCUGUGAGUUAACAUGACAUUAAUUCUAUAGAAGAAAUAGGAGUUGACUGUUUAAUAGUUUCUGUUUAAUGCUAGGCCACACAGAAAAAUGCCUCUGUGAAUUAUCUAGAGGGCUGUUAGGGAAGGAAAGAUAUUAAUUGGUAUGAUGCAAAGUGGGAGGGACAUGUAAGAAAGGGAAAAUGAAAGGGGAGUACAGAAAACCACAGUUGUAACCAUCUGGUUGAAGAAUUGUUUUGAACUACUCAUCACUGCAAAGUCUUACUUUAUUGUUUGAAGCGUGUUUAGGAGUACCAUUGAUUUAGGAAAAAAAAAUCAUUUUUUUUUUAUUAUAAAUUCAUGAUUUAUAUUCCUCUCUCCAUUGGUUUUGGGGAAGAACAUUGAAUUAUUUGGUUAAGCUCUAGGUUUGGGUUGUGUUUUGAGUUGUUUUUUCUGUGUUGUUUUGUUUUGCUGUUUUGUUGUGUUGUUAUCACUCUUCUUUUAAACUCUUUUCUUUUUCUUUUUUUUUUUUUAAUAUUUUUUUCCUAUCUUGUUUGUCAGAUGUGAUCAGUGCAGAGGUUUUGAAAGCUCCUAUUCUCAAUGUUAUCUAGCUCUUAUUUGCACAAUUUAAGAAAAAAUGUUUCUAUCGGCAAUCAAUAAAUUAUUUGAGAAGUUAAGUCUCUGUCUUCCAAGCAUGUUUAAAUUUGGCCAAAUCCUAAACAGCAAAGAAGUAACUCCAUGUUUAAAACAAUGUAAAUGUAUCCCAGUUGUGGAAAAGAUUUGACAUGUUGUCAGCAAUUUAUGUCCAAGGAGAAUCUCAGUGUUGUGCAGCUUACAUAUCAUCUUUAGAAAACUGUUCUGUGUUUGUUUGUCUUUUUCUUCUUCUUCUUCUUCUUCUUUUUUUUUUUAAAUAUAAUUCUCAUAUUUUAUCUGAAGAAAUUUUAAAUACUGUAGAAAUGCUAAAUAACUUAGCUUUGCUGGUAGCAUAUUCUCAUCUCCAACAUUAACUUUCCCUUUCAGAAAUGUGGAGUUCUAUUGUGGAGAAAAAGCCACUAGUAUUGGAAAUUCGUUACUCUGUACUUCACAAAAUAGGAAUAAAUUUCGAUCACUGCUUUGAGUGAGGAUGGAAAAAAGUAUGACAUGAGUGUCAGCAGGCUCAGUAACUGAGUUAUACUUCUUUCAGGGAUCAUGGAGAUCAGUAGCUACAAAUACGUGACAGAAGAAAACUGUCAGAAGUUCAGCUCUUGAACUGCUGCAGAGUACAGAUGAUAAGUGAGUUUGUGUAAUCAGAUGCCUUGCAAGAAGCACCAGACCACCCCUCCUUAUGACUGCAGGACUGUUGUGUACAGGCUAUUCCAGGACUUCAGUUCUUCUAGUUCCCAUUUUUAAUCCAGAUGGACUAGGAAAGGAGGGGGGAGAAACACGACUCACCAACAAUACCAUAAACAAAUCAUGCAGAAUAAUGAUGUAGGCUCUACUCAGAUGCAUCACCCUGCUUCCUUUGAUUCUGAUAGUCUCAUUAGUAAUGUUGCCAUUGCUGUGUGAUUUAUUUAGGGGCACUGUGUCUGCAACUGAGCUGUGUGAUCUAUACUAAGCUACAUGGUUGAAUACACCUGAAUAGUGUAACCCUAUGGAAUAUGGAGGCAAUGUGUUGUAACUUACAUAUCUUCUUCUGGAGAAUUAUGAUACAAUCUGAUUUAAUUUUUACCUGAUGUUUCACCUAUUAAAAUGAGACAUUUAAAAAGGGGGGAAUUUGCAGCUGCUGGUUUCUCAGAAAAGAUCAACUGUUUCUGUAAUUAAUAUGGAAGAUAACAAUUUAAAAUAAUGAAACACCCAUAUUAUGUUUGAAGAAAGCAGCUUGUUGUUAUAAUUAGAACUAGAAUCAAAUUGUUCUGAUGGCAAACACCAUUUACUGAACUCCAUGAAUGGAGCAGCUUCAGCAAGCAAAUAACAUAAGUGGGAAAAUACCAGAAACGAAACAGAACAUGGAAAAAUUAAGCUGAUGAGAAAAUCCUACAGCUGAACUUUUCGAGGCCCCCCUCUAAAAGAAUAAUGCACUCGAAGCAUGCUUAUGUUUCUGGCAGAGAACGUGGAGCUAUGACCAAGUUCUGACAUUGUCACAGAUUUCACACAGUGCCAUGAGGACAAUGGACUUCUCAGGAGAUUGCAUUACAUCCUUUCUGUGGCAGUACCGGUAGACAAGGUGAAAAUUCAUCUGUGUCACUUGCUAUUGUUUCAGUCUGCCUUGGAGAGCUAAGGCAAUGGGCCUGCCCUCCCAGCUAAUGUUUCUUCCAACAAUUUCUGCUGUGUGCCUUUUCAAACAUUGGCUGUUUACCAUGUGAAAGCCUCAUGUGAGAAUCUGCAUGUGGGCCCAAACUUGACGUUCUGCUUCUGGUGGAUUUGAGCUGUUGAUUGGUGAUUUCUCAAAUCUUUAUUUCAAUGAUGAAGCUUGAAAAUAUUGUCUUCAGGACAUUGGGGUCACUCUAAUUUGUUUUUCCCUGGGCUUUACUUUCUCUGCUGUGUUACACUGUAGAAGACACAAGAGAGAGAAGUGCUAUUCCUCUCUUGUUUCAAUCUGCAAAAUCUCUGCUUAUUUUGACAAUGAAUUUUAAUUUCCCUGCUUAAGAGACAGGUGAGCAUAGAGGUGGAAUACAUUUUGGGCCUGUGACCCUGACUGGGCUGUGUCACUAGCUGAGGAAUUGGUGGACUAAAAUGAAGUGUUCAGCAACUGUUGGAGAGCAAAACACACAAAAGAAAACCAAAUACUACUUCAUUGGUUUGGUUUCUGCUAAUUACAAACAGAACCCUCAUCUGAAACUGAUAAUGAAGCUCACAGGAUUUUACAGUGGAUCAUAUCUACUCCUAUUGCUACUGGGAUGUCGAGAAUAUUCUCAUUUCUCAUGCCAUGGGAGGCAGUGUGAGCAGGGAUCCUUGUCCUCCUCCUCCAAAUAAACCUACUCUGAUAGGAUGGGUUGUACCCUUAGUAGGCUUGAAAUACAUGGAGAUCCAUGGAAAGUAUGUUCCCUUAACCAUUCCUAAAAAUAGGCUUCUGUACAUUGUACUGAUGGCUUAGCUGAGAGGAAUCGCUUUGCUGUGAAUUUGAAGUAGCAGAAGGAUUUUAUGUAUUAAUUCCUUCAUGUGCUUUAAUAAUAGUUUUUAGCAUUGUUUAAUUUGUGCUUGAGCAUUGCAACCAACAGAGAUUGUUCAUUAUUGGUAAGCAUUUGCUUGUACUAACAAGAGCAUAUGUGUAGCAAUACUAUAGCAGAGAAAUACCUGCUUUGGUUUUAGAUUAGUUUAGUAAUGCAUUUUCUUUUCUUACCCACAUUUUCUACACACAUCUUGGGAUCUUCAACAGAUUUUUGUAUUUCUAAAAGGUUUAGAACAUGUCACUUUUAAUGAAAUUUCUUCAUGUCGCUAUAAUUUUCCUGUAAGUUUCAGUUUUUCCUUGGGCACUUUGGCAGCUGAUAUAGUAGGAUCCCAUCCAAAACAACGCAGCAGCAUCCCUAGAAUUCCAUCUUGCCGUGUGACACUGCUGCUGAAUCUGAAAGAUGCAAUUGAAGACUGAAAACCCAGCAUGUAUGAGCAGGAGAAAAGUGCUUAAACCACUGGGCAGAAUAGGCAUACUGCCACACUUAUUGGUAAACAAACUAAACAGGUGGAAACUUCAUUUUUGAAACAGCUUUCCAGGUUCCUUGAGUGCAGAAUUGUUGUAUGACUAUAACUGAUCAUACGAUAAACUUAUCAGACUUCCCGUUUGUCUUUUGUCCUAAACUAUUUGUAAUGUAAUGUGGUAACAGCAGCUGAAUUCCUCCUACUCCAUCCAGAUAUUUACUUGCUAAAUGGUCCUUGUCAUCAUGGUAUCUGAAUGCCUCUCACACACUAAUGGAUUGUAUCCAUAAACUCUCCAGUGAGAGCAAGAGAAUAUUAGCCCCAUUUCUACAAAUGGGAAAAAAGGUAGAAGUGAUACUCUUGUCUAUUCUCUGAGUGUAUCUCAAAGGAAUAACAGAAACUUCUUGAAUUAGACUUCACACCUAGACAGGAACUCAGAAGGGAGCUCUGUCACAACCAUCUCUUUAAGGGACAAAUAGCCCUCAUUGUGCAUAGGGUAGGAAAUGACUUUUCUGAGGUUAUACUGGAAAUCUGUGACUGAUGACAGAAUAGAACCAAGGUCCCUUGAGUACUGUAUUCAGCGAGGUUAUGUAUCCAACUAUAAUUUCUAUGUAACACUUAUUUAGUUAAUAACACAAAGUGGAUUUAUUUGUUUGCUUUUUUGUUUUGUUUUUCAUUUGUUCUUUUUUUUUUCCCCUGAUGUUUUUAUCUUUAAAUGCAUUUCAUGCUUCAGGUUCACUGUAGUUCAAGAAAGUCUAACAUAUAUUUAUAAUGAUCCUGGAGACAAUAUUGUUGUCCAUGAUGUCUGAAGCAGAAAAAGCAGACUUUGAUUUUCAUAAGCUCUAAUGACCCUCCUGGGCAGUUGGAAAUGUACAUUGUUUGAGAUAAUCAGACAAACUGAUUCCAUUAUAAAAAGACGUAUUGUUUUUAUUUUAUGUUUCACAAGCAUUUUGUCUAAUUAUUGCUGACAUUUCCAACCAUAUUGUGAAUUUUUUUCAGGGGGAAAAGAAGGAGUUUAUCUCCAUUAAAACUGGAAACAAACUGAUGCUAACUGUUUUUAUAAACUGAAAACACUAAAAUAAAAUGAAAUGCAUUAGAGCAAUUAGGAAGAAUUAUAGCAAAGUCUGUCUCGCCUAUAUUGUUACUUGUGAAAAAGAAAAAAAAAAAGGACAUACCAAAGAUUAUCAUUUUGCAGUAUGAGUCUGUUGUUCUAAAAAAGCACCCUGAAUGUUUUUCAUUAAGCUGUUUAGCACAGGAAAUCUGUUAUUGUUUAACCCUUUCACACACCAAAGUAUUGAAACGCAUUUAAAUGCUGAAAUAUAAAUGCAGACACAUUAUACACAAUCAUUUAAGAUUCAAUUAUUCUGCAUGUUCCCAGUUGUUUUUAUAGAUCCUGACAUAAGUUUCUUGGGCUAAAAUACCAUAUAGUAUCUUUCGACAGAGAAGUGCAGUGUCUUAUUUAGUAGGAAUGGUUUGAAGGCAGUGCUGUGAGAUUCUCCAACUUGUGCGCAGUGAUCCUUUUCUGAAGCAAAAGAUGAUUCAGUCAUUGUUAUUGGCUGACCAGCAAGUAAUUGGUUAACACUACAGAGUUUGUAAAUCACAUUGAGAGCUUGAUUGCAAUCCUAUUACUGUGGGGAAGAGCACCGUUUCUCAUUUGUAUUACCUGGAGAUGAAUUCAGUCUUCAAAAGUACAGAUAAUUUUUUUUUUUCUUUACAUUAGGAAGUUGUGAAUCUAAUACCUGGUUGAAAACAAGGGCAGUUUGACAUAUCUGGCUGCAUCCUGCUGUACUUUAGAUAUAGCAAUCAUGAAGAACCAAAGCAAGGUCCUACUCCAGGUAUAGCUGCAGCUGUGAUUGGUCUCAAAAAGUGACCUGAUAUCUGUCUUAACAAAAAAAUAAAAAAUAAAAAAAUAGUUAAUUCUUAGACAGUAACCACAGACUAAGUAUUUCUGAAGUUUUUCUUGUCUACUGAUUUUUGUCCUGGUUGUCUGUAUAAUCUUGUCCCUGAUCUUCCUUGGAGAGCAGAUUUUCUUAUGAAAGUGUGCUUUAUUAGUAAGAAUCUUCCCUAGGUUUUCCACUGCUUUUCUAGGAGCAAAUUUGCUAGAGUUAAUGUAAGUCCAGUGCACUGCCUCCUCAAGUUUAAGGGCUACCAUUAUGACUGGAGUAAAUCUGCUAAAAUCUAUUGGUGCUAAUCACUGUUCUUGAUAUUAGCUGUUACACUAUCUGUCUCCUUCAAAGAAAGGCCUGCUGAGCACAUUUAUCCAAAAUACUCUGUAGCUCCUGCAGUCAAACACAGCUAUUCGGAAAGGACAUAAUCUGUUUGUCUUGAGAACUUUGCCAUGUACUCAUAAAUCUUGUGAAACAACUAUACAUCUGGGUUGCACAGGACAUACCAGACUGUGAGAUAAUGCAACUGGAGAGAUGUUAACACAGCCAGGUAAAAAAAUAGAUCUUUAAAAAACAAAAUCUAGGCUGACUGUGGUUUAUUAUUCUACAAGGAAAAAAUGGAAAUAAAGUAGUGUAAUUUUAAUUAGGCUUAUUAAUCUUGGCAUCUACCCAAGUUAUCUCAGGGACUUUUGACAACUGUAGUUCCAGGUCUUUGACAGUCUGUCAGGUUCCUCUAUGGGUGGUUGCAGACGAUAUUUCCUUUAUAAGUCGUGAUAGAUAAUUUCUCCCAGGAUGUAACUGGGUGGGAGCACUUUCAUUAUGAGACAUCUAAAAGAUUUCAUUUUAUUGUUUCUGAAUAGGAAUUGCAGAAAAAGAUAUUCUACAAAACGUUUGACAUUUUGAAUUUAUUUUCCUGGUCUGUGAGAAAAUCAAAUGCAAGAAUACUGCCUUAUUAUUUGGGAUGGAUAUUCAAUUUUUUGAUCAACUGAACAGUGAGAAACUGAAAAUUGGUUAUGAUUAAUGACAGUGUUACUGAUCUUUUUCUCUAUAUUAAAAAGAAACCCCAGAGUUCAAAAAGAGAAAUAGUAGAAUGUAAAACUACAAAAGUAAAAGGCUAAUAUUUUGUUCCAUGUUUUUGUUUUCUGCCUCAGGAAAUGUACUGCAUACGAAACAUAGUUAAAAAAAAAAAGAGAGAGAAAGAAAAAGGAAAAGAUUAUUUCUUUGAAGACAGCAGACAACACAAUUUUAGUAAAUAUAAUAUUUAUAGGACCUUGCAAUUAAUUUACAAAAAUUUUACAUCAAAAAUGUAUGCUGAUGAUUUUAGUCUUUAGGGACGACAAUUGUCUCCUCAGUCAUGUUUUCAUACACUAAAGGCAAUUAUUGUUGCUUCUAGCUGUAAUAAAAAAAUAACCAAAACAGAUAGAAAUGUCUUAGUAGAAAUUGAGCUGAAACUCCCACUGUGGAAAUAAUCAGAAAAUUAAAAGCUCUGCAAUCUUGCAAAUAACAUUGCAACUUAAUAUUAUUGGAACAUAACAUUAUUAUCUCUUUUUAUAGGGGAAACAAACAUAAAUAUGUUUUCAAACACUGCUGAUGUUAUGGUUUCUCUUUAUUGGCUGACAGAAAGGAAAGAAAAAGGAGAAAAACAAUAAAUUUUGGAGUUGCAUAUCAAACAACCAACUGGGAAUCCAUGAAAAAUGAUCAGCAGUGGCAGGAGUAUAUUCUUGCCACCAUUAGGUCAGCAUCUUCUCCACUGAACUGUCUCCACGACACCUAUGAGACAUGGCCCAUCUGCCAUCUGAUAGGUUUUAAACUAAAUGUUAUUCAUGUUUGGUUCACUUACUCCUUUAUUAGCUACUGUUAGCUUCACAAUCUGAGCAGGACAGUUAGAAACUCAGAGCAAGAAAGGCAACUAUUUUUUUUUUUUUUUUUUUUUUUUGAUCUUCUUUGACUGAGCAGCAGCAGGCCAUAAUGUAGUCUCAAAUUAAGAGAAAUUUACAUCACCCUACUUUUUUCUUCUUUGAGAGUAAACCCACUUUCGGGUCUAUUUCUGCUAGAAACAGACAUCUGAAAUAGCUCACCAGCCACAGUGGGCAGACUCUGAACUCCUGGCUGUGUGAAGUCCACUGAAUCCUAUGGUUCUCUACUGCAUUUAGUAACGGCUCAAAUCCAUUAAAGAAGUUGCACCCCCUUUAUGACAGUGCGACAAAAUAAAUUUCAGAUUUGAGCCUCCCAGAAUUAUACUUCCUGCAGCCUUUGUUAAUGCUUCUAGCUUACAAGUUAAUUCAAAGUGAAUACUUAUGCUCUGUCCUAAUGAUUAUUGGUAAAUGUUAUGGGUCUUUUACUUCACCUGUGACCCUAACAGAACAGCUUUAAAACAAGUCAUAAUUGUUCUUCCUGACACCCAUACAGACUUUAGGAACAGAAUCAUCUAAGCAAGUCUGAGAGGUGAUAGGAACCAAACUGAAAUUCCACCUGACCAUCAAAUCAAAGCCAGUCAUUUUCUUUUCAUAUCACAGUAGAAGCAUCUCAUGAUCCACAAAGAUUUUUCAAAAAGUAAUCCAAAGGUGUGGAUGAUCAUGCCAGUGCAAAGUAACCUCUGAGACCUCACUCAGUCAAAAGUUAGGCCAUAUUGUUGGCUUUCCUCUCUGUAAACAAAGUACCUUAAAUAUCAAUAUUAAUUUAUAUCCUACCAACAACAAACCAAGGGAUGCUCCAACAGUGUCUUAAGAAGUUAACUUCCAUCAGCUGGAAUUUAUCAGCCUUCAGAUGAAAGAGCAGCUGAAUGCAUGAAAGCUUUUAUAUUGCAGUUUGUGCUGGCUAGGUUUGUUCUACUGCUAGUAGGGACAGUGUGCUUGUGUGGAUAUCUUAUCUUGGCUUACAGUGUGUAUCUUCUUGCACAAGGGUGGUAAUUGCUAACUUGACUGUUAGUGAUCAUAGGCACAUAUUUCAAGAAUUAGAUCGAAGUCCCUCUUACAGUAACGCUCUCUAGGGAAGCAUUGUCAUUUUCUGAAAUGUUUUUUAGGGAAAUAAAGGAAAACUAGGUAUAUUUUUUCACUUUCUAUUUUAUUUUUGAAAACAAGGUAUUUCUGAUAAUCCCUAAUACUCAGGAAAGUUCAAAUUAAAACCAGCAGUGCAGUACUAAACCUACAACUUCCGGAGUGAGAGAACCUGGAUUUGAGAGGAACACAUUAAUGUAGGCAAAAGAAAAGGUACAGAUAAGGUGCUGGUAAGAGACUUGUGGACAACAUGAGAAAAAAAAUAAUAAUAAUCAGGUGUGAGUAGCAAAUGAUGAAAAUAUAAUAAUGCCACCUUUGUCUGGACAUCAGUGUUUUUCGAAGGAUGUUGAAACCUACUCAUAUCAUAAGGUCAGUUUGGGAAUGAAAAGGAGUAUCUUCUGUUCCAGGUUUAAUUUCCCAGUAACUGGCAAUACCUACAGGCAUUGCUAUCUAGUAUCUGACAGCAUCUAGCAUCUAAAUAUGAUAGAUAAGAGCCUGGCAGACAGGCAGGGGACUCCCUCCCUCUGUUUAUUCAUGUGAAAUUGGGAGGAGAGAAAAACCUCCACAGGAUUUCUGACCCCCUCUUUCAGCUCCACCCCUGUCAAAAGCUGAAACUAAUGAGCUGGAAAUAGGAAAUGUGCAAAAUACCUGACACUUCCCUAUCUGAACUGCAUUCCUUAAGAGUUGUUUUUUUUAUUACUAGAUAAAUGCUUUGACAUGUGUAUUUAUGUGAAGUCUGAAUGUGAUUUAGAUACCAACUACCUGCUGAGCUAAGAAUAUUUGCUUCCUACUUAAACCAAUAUGUUUAUUUAAAGGAUCUUUAAGUUUUAAAAUGCCCUUGGCUUCCAUCUCUGUAGAUGGGUAACCUUUGUAUGUGGAAUGCGUUGUGCACUCCAUUUGUUAUUAAUAUAAAGUAAUAUUUUCCUUUUGCUCUGCUCCAUUCUUUCCUUUAGGAGCCUUUUUACUGUAGCAGACUCACAAAAAAUGUGCAUAUGCAUAUUUGGAAAAGGACAGAAAAGGUUGAUUCUCAGAGCUUCUUCUUAAAGAUGAUGUCCACCAAUCUUGCUUAAAUAGCAAACAAAGGGUCUUUGUUACUCUUGCAGAGAAUUAUUUUGAGAGGUAGGACAUUUCUUUUGUUCUGUGUCUUUGUGCACAGCACAAUGGGGCUAGAACUUGUGGAUGCAGCUUUGAUGUAAAGAAUAAAUGGCAAUGUACAGACCGCAUGAGUUAAUUCCUGAUUUUUAUUUAAAAAGGUCUCAUAACUCAGAUUUGUACUUUCAAGGUAAAUUCCUUGACUCCCUACUCCCUGGUUAUUCGUGUUUAACACAACUAUCCCUUUGCUCAGAUGAAGUUCUCCCUAAAUUUGAAGGAACAAAUGAAUAAGAAUAUGCGGAUUUGUAACCAAAUGCAGAGAUUCUUUAUAUUUACUUUGAAAUCUGAAGAGCUAUUUUCAGGUUCUCUGAUCAGGAAAUGUUUAGAAGGCAGCUAGCAGUUAGAAGGCAUGGUCACAUUCUGAAAUUUCUAGCAAAAAUCAGGGUACCUUUUUAAUGAAAAUUCAUCUUGUAAAUAAAACCAUCAAUAUAAUGUAGGCUAAUCCCUUCUAGAAUGAAGUCCUCUGAAUGCAGAUGCAUAUAACAGGAUAUUUGGGUUCCUGUCAACAACAUCACUGACACAUGUGCUUUAAGGCUUUCACCUUCUAAGCCUUUCACCAGCAAUCUACAAUGCAAAGUUUUGAAGGCAAUUACUCUUUCUUUUUAAUUUGAGCCCACAUUCAAUUAAGUGGAGCCGAAUUGCUCACAUCCUUUCAGCCAAUUAGUCACAGGCUUAAGUUUUUGUUUUGUUUGUGCUUCUUUCCCUCUCCUCCCUGCCCCCUCCAGAGAUAUUCCCUCCUUGGAUUCCCUAACGAACAUAACCCAAACUGUCAAAACAAGUUUCUGGGUGUUAAGGCUUCAGACAGCAAGCUCUAAGCACCAAAUCCACAGCAAAGCAGGUGCACCCUUUGGAAAACAUGCAGUGUUUGGGGUUGGGAUCUGUCCUUGUGGGCAAACCACGCAACUGCCUUGGGGUGACAGCAAGUGGCAUAGCAGCGAGCGGGAUCUUUGUGCAGAAGACACAGUGGCAUUCACAGCUGAGCUGAAUCAGAUUGAAAAGGAACUGUCAAGUGCUGUGCGUGCCGUAAUUAACCUUUUUCAGGUUUCCUUCCCAUCUUUUAACCAAGCAUCCUUGCAGGCUAUUAUGCCCUAAAGCCCAUAAUGAUAUAAAGCUGUGAUGAUGGAGCACUGACCUCUCCACUCUGCUCGGAUCUGACCCGUAAUGUUUUGAGUAGCGGAGAUCUGAGCAUCUACUGAUAUUUUCAUACCUCUGUAAGAAGUAGAAGAAAAACCCACUUGACUUAUCUGUUGCAUAUUUCCACACCAAAAACUGUUAAAUGACAUUUACUGGGGUAGAGAAAGGGGUUCCAGGGCUCAUUUUUAAUGUAAUUGUUAAUACAAUAAUUUAUUGAGACUGUUCCCCUGUGGUGAAAUAAUGAAAAGUAACUGAAAAGGGCUGCAAGGGCAACUUGUGAGUGAAGGAUUAUGUUAAAGCAUUGCCCCCCUUGUGAUUGCUUCAAAUAUUUGUAUAAUAUAGUAUGUUGCCCUGAAUAGUUAUAAGUCAUAAACACUGAGCAGGACACAUUAGUAAGAGAUACUCAUUCCAAAGCAAAUAUUUCACUGGCAAUUAAUCCACGAGGUGAUAAGAAAGAUUUUGUGAAGAUUUAACAUAGGGGAAUUUAAAAUAAAUAAAUAAACAAAAAGAGGUGGGACAGGAGUCGAUUUUAACUAUGGUUUUUGUUUGUUUGAUUGGGUUUUAAGGUAGGAAAAAAAAAAGAAAAAGAAAACCUGCAUGACAUGGCAAGAUCCAUAGGAACAUACGUGGUUGCAAGCUGCUAAUUCCAAUUAGACAAAUCACAUACUUAAAGUUAGCCCAAGAGCCUUGCAGAAUCUGAUCUAGAAAACCCAAAUGCUUUUAAAACUUAGGAUAUGGCUCAAAGGAACAUUGUAAAAAAGGUUUUUUAAAGAGAGUAAAAAUGCUAAUCUGUCUAUUGGGAUUUUAUUUCUUUUCAUUAUGUAAUAGUUAAUAAUAUUUGAUUAAAAAUCCACAUUUGCAAUUAUAGUCUAGAAAUUUGCACAAACUGUUUGCCAAAGUCAUUACUGCAGUUCUAUAGUAACACCUUAUCAGUUUUGUAAGGAAUGCACUCUCCGAAUUUUUUCUGUAAAGUUGUUUCAGAAAAGCACUGCUGCAAUCACGUCACUUUUCAAAUCCCGCCCCUGACUCCUCUCACUACUACAUCAAAUCAAACAAGUUCUUACCCUGAGCUUGAGCACGCAGUGAACUUCACAUAACUGAGCAAUCACACGCAUAGGGCUGUUCACAUCCCCGUGGUUUUGCAGGUCCGGGGGCUAACUUUUCAUUAGCUCCUGACCUCUCUUCGUGGCUCACUCUGAACUAUUCUCAGCCAUCUUUCUUGUUCCCUGUGUGCAGACCAUCCACCUCACAUUGGCUGGGAAAAACACCCUUACAAAUUUUUUUCCUUGAACCCACUCCUAGCACGAUCCCUGCAUGAAACUGCUGGCUAAUACUGCCUAAAUAAAUGGCCAGGAGCAAUUCUGGUGUGAAGUUUUAGUUCCACUUAAUUUACCAGGGCAUCCACAUCACUGUCACAAAGAUUUCAUUCUUGAUCGUAUUGUUUUGUGUAUGUCUAUUUUAAUUCUUCUACCCUUUUCCCUUCCCCCGGUCUUACUUAUUUUAUUUUUAAUUGUUUUUACACUCGUUUGUCAUUCCUAGAUGCAUUCAGCAUGGCUGAAACUGGCUGUAUUAAGUCCUUUCAUGUCUUCCCCUUUCCCUGAUGGAUUUAAUCAUAAAUAGCUAUUUCAGAGAAUAUUUUCCCUAAGAAAUGCACAUGUCUAAGGAUAACUUUGUGGGUUUUGAUAAAGAGACAUUACUGUGAGCUGUAAAGGCUUCAUGAAAUCAGGAAGGGCUGACAGCAAAGUCCUUUGUUUUAUUGCAAAUAUCUAAGACCACAUAACUGAUAUAUGGCUGGCUUCACAUAUGGCUUGCCUUUCUUGCCAAGUCUACUGGAAGACAAGAAGACUGAUCCAAGAGUUAUUUUUUGCAUGUGCUUGGAAGUCCUGAUUGCAGAUUCCUCCUACAGUAGGGAUACACUAUUUCAGUAUCAGCUUUAUUGCACCAUGCUGAGAUUUUACAUCUUUAACCCUAUGUGCCUUGGCUGGCUUUAAAACAGUAAUUAUUUAAAAUUAAAGGAAAAAAAAAAAGGGAGGAAAAGAAAAAAUGAGCUAAGUAAAACAGCUAAAAGUAUUUAUCUUGCUCUUACUAUUCGGGGUAAAACUUCCAUUCAUUAAAAAAAGGACUGAGAUUCCACUGCAGUCCCUGCAGGGCUGUUAAAGAUGACAAAGUAAUUUGAUAAUACUCUCUAUACACUGGAUGUGUUGCAACCUUCAGUGCUUUGCCUUCCCACCUGACCCCACAAGCACACCUUCUGGAUCCGUCACUGGGAGAUGGGGAGGAUCUGUGGGACACUAAUUCCCACUGACAGCUCCCAUUCUGCAUACGGGAGGCUGCUCCCAUUGUUCCUGGAAGCACUUCUCUAUAUUAUCCACACUGUGAUAGCUGUUCACUGCUUCUCCAUGUCUGGACAGCCUGAUGAUAAUUUGGGAAACAAAGCGGUUCUGUCAUGUUUGUUGGUAUUUUUUUUUUUUUCUCUCCUGAGUUUUUUUUUGUUUUCAUUUUCAUUUUUCUUUUACUGUACCUGCAUUGUUGAGUGAGGUUUCCUAAUGUAAUCUUGGUAGCAUUUGCUUAGAGGUUGUCAUGCCAAAGUAUGAGGUGUGAGAAAGAAAAAGAAAUAUCUGUGAGCCAACAAAUAACAUUGAAAUGUAAAAAAAAAUAAUCCAAAGAAUAAUAACUUAUUCUUUACAGUCAGACUCAAAAACAGACUUUGAUGCACUUACAUCCUUUUGUCUUUACUGUUGCAUGAAUAUGGGACAGACUUGAUUAGAGUUUUCAAGGUUUUUCCUUGAAUUGGUGAAAUCUCACUGACGUGAUGUCCUCUGCCACUCUUUUAAAAAGCAUCCAACAUAAAUCCAGAGUUCCUAUAGUGCUGAACACUUCUCCAAGGGCCUGCUUUUUGGAACAGCUAUCCAGACAAAAGGAAAACGUAUGUAUAUGUUGCCUCCUUUCAUGGAUGGAAAAGUGAGAUUUGUCCUGUGUCAUAUUAGGAUCCUUCUAGUUCCCAGAAAAGUCAUCUACUCUCAUGUCUAUACACAGUUAUGGGGCUGACACAGAAACAUUGUAUAGCUGAUAAUUUCAGAGCAUUCUUUUGCUAUUGGUUUUGUACUAAUGCAGGAUAAGAAAUAUAUAAGAAACACAUGAAUAUUAAGAAUAGUGCUUGUCUGCCCAUCUGGGGAGUGAGAGCAUCAAAACCUUUUAUGACCACUUAUGUCAUGUGUGUUUGAAGGCACACAUCAUUCGAGUUUCUGCUUUCAUAAACAGACAAGGCUCCUACAGCGUAACCUAAAGACUUCACACAACUGGUGCAAAAGGCCACAACAUUAGCAGCAGAGCAGGAUGCAGAAGUCCAGAGUCUAAAGUGCUUUUCAUCAAAUUUAACCUGGGGUAAGCACAGAAUUAUAAAUGAAAAGGGAGAUUUAUUUUAUUCUUUUUAAUGGAGAAAGCUAUAAAAGGAAAGAAGCACACAUAGAAGAAGAAAUGGAAAGAUAGUGAAGCUGACACUAACUGCUAUCACAUGUGAACAGGAGCAGCAGGAAACACAGAAGACACUUAAUGUCAACUGCUGUGGAAAAAGAAAACUACAGCCACUCUUGAAGAGGAGGACAUACAGCUAUACUUGGCAACUGCUGUGAGAAUUGCUAAUAUGUGUAGCUGGCUGAGACGAGAAUGAACCAUCUUGUUGGCACCUUUUCUGUCAGGAAGGCAAUAGAAGCCAAUAUAAAAUGGAUUAAGAGGGCUUAAAUUACAAAAAAAAAAAAAAAAAAAAAAGAAAAAGAAAAAAAAAGAAAGAAAGAAUUGGCCAACAACCCAGUACAAGCUCUUUUAAAAAUAGAGAAACAAUGAUUCAGAGACACAUUAAUUGAAAUUUCCCAUUUAAAGACAGGAGUCUUACUGGAAGAAGAGUAAAGGACUAAGACUCUUGACUAUGUAGCCCAGAAGACAGUAAAACCGACACAGUGCUUUGUCAGACAAGAUACCUGGAUCUCUGCCGUCACCUCCUCUGCCUGGAGAAGGAGUUAGUUAUUUCCUUGCUAGAUGAAAAUAGCUCUAUCCAGAAGAUGUUCUUUCUGCACAUUGGCUGCUUAGGAAGGACAGACCACUCUCCUGAGAUUACCUUGUACUUUAUUUAUUAAUUAUACCUAUUGCUAAAGAAUUUGACCUGGAGUUUCAAGCAAAGGUGGGAAUGGGACUCACAAUGAAACAAGGUUCUUGGGAUAGAGGGAACAGCGCUAUGUGCAGAUAAAUUUUUACGUUGGUCUUGUAAGGUAAAGGUGCUGCAUUUGAUGAAAUACGCCUAUGAGUUCUUGGUAAAGAUCUCAGCUACCCUCAUUACAUUCAUAUAUCCUAAAGAUGCAUAUUAUCUACCUUCUUCCAAGCACUGAUAUUGAAAAAAAUUGUUCACUACCUCACCAAAGGAGCUUGUUGCAAAGAACUUGCAGUAAAUAGGGACAGGUGAAUAGUAUGUAAUUAUGUUCUUAAAGGAAUUUUUGCUUGAUAUUACCUUCCAGAUUCCCCCUCCUCAAAUAUCAGUUAUGGUUGUAUUUUUGGAGGAUGAUGCUUAUUUCAUUUGAUUAGAAUUGGAAUAAGUAAAUUGAUAUUACAUCGUCGCAGUUCUCUUCCCCCCCACUCCCCUCUACUCCUUUUAAUUUGAAUGCCUUAUAAAGUAUUACAUGUUAUAGUUCAUUAGGUUCUCAUUGAUUGGACAUUUACUAGCUUCCUAAGCCUGUUUCAUUGUUCUGCUGCUGUGCUUUCACCAUUUGGUAUUCGGCACUCUGCAUAAUGAAUAAAUUACAGUUGAGCAAACGGACAUCACCAUAUGGGGGUAAUUUGUACUUUGACAGAAGGACAGAGCUCCUGGACUGGUCCUAAAGGGAAGCUCUGCAGUUUUCAAAAAUCCCCCUAAUUUUUUUAAAUUAUUUACUUUCAAAAGGCCCUUCCCGUCCCCAGUGUAUGCAGAUAGGAACUUUGAAAAGCAGUAAACUGGGGACCAGGCAUACAAGUUCUAAUUUUAAUUGCAGGGUUUCUUAGAUGCAGAUGAGAUGGUACAUACACUGAUUAACACCUUCAUGACUAAGGGUACUUGUGUGCAUUCUGGCAUCCUGGAAUAAUAUGACUAUGUGGAACAUUUUAAAAUUUAGUAACUUCGUGUUCCCUGCAUACUGUCAGAGAAUAUGGGAAAUGAAUUUUGGAAGCAAUCUAAAUUUAUCAUUGGUACUGGCAAGUAGCUGUUAUCUGGUCAUGCAGUCAUACAUUUUUUUUACAUGAGAGAAAGUAAUAGAAUAAUUCUAAAAACUAAAAUAAUUGAUUUAUGCUGGUAUCAACGUAGACACAAUAUGCAUUCCACAGCAGACAGUUAUAAUGCCACUCCAUUUUUACAGGAAAAAACUUACCUUAACAAAAGUAGAAGGAAGACUGUGGUCAAGAGCAAAAUUCAUACCCCAGCCCUAGAGAAGAUCACACAUAGUGUGUAUAAAUGAACAUCUUCCUUUCAUUUGUCACUUGCACACUUUGUCAGGACCCUUGAAGCUGCCUAUUCACUCCCCAUUAGACUUGUUCAAGAUCCAAAACAGUUCCUGCAGAAAGAGAAUUUAGCAGUAUUUUAAAUGAAGCUUUUCUCCUAACAAUUUCUAAACUUGUUUGAGAUGCUUUUUCUUACCCAACGUGUCUUUAUUUCAUGUAGUUCUGACACUCUCAUACUGAGGUUAAAAAUAGUGAGCUAAAAUAUCCAAGCUGCUAUAUAUUGACAAAGUUUUCACACCAGCUACUUCAUGACAUCAGAGAGAUAUAUUUCAGAGGAAAAUUUCCUUUACCUAUAGGAUUAUCUCAGCUUUUCAUCUACUGAAUUCAGCGUGCCAAAAAUAGCUUUCUGUUUUCCUCUGUAAUUUUUUUCCAUGUUAGAAGUGGGUCCCAAUUUCCCGCUCACUUUGUGGUAUUCCAGGAAGUCUCACGUGCAGACACACUCCCCUAUGAGAUGAGAAACCAUAUACUUUCUUGAAACAGAAUUGGUAAAACUCAGACUCCAGUCUUUGCUUUAGGAAUACAUCUUACCUAAUUUUGAUCGAUGAGUCUCAACGCAGUUACUUAAAAGGAGAAAACACCUCUGUAGAGUGAAGUCAUACAUUCAUCCUUUAAGUUCCUUACAGCUCAUUCAGAUCAGCUGUCCCACCCAAAGUGAAAAAUUUGUGCAAGUAAUUUAUUUCAUUUUUCCCUCUCCACCACCCAGACCACCUGCAGCACAAUAUUGGCACAGUAGAUCUGUGCAAGCAAUUGCUUUAGUUCUUAUUAUAAGCAAGAAGAAAUUCUCAGAAAUUAAGAAUUGAAGUGUUUAAUUGCCAUCUUUUAAACAUGGGAUAAUCCAGAUUGACCCCAAGUGUUAAUACCACUGGAGCACGAUCAGAGAGAGCAAAGCAAGCAACCCAUAUUCAUAUCCAUAAGCUCUGGGUGUAAUCCACAGCAUAGUGAAACAGAAUCUAUUCAAGACUGACAUAAAUGGCAGCAGGGAAAAAAAAGAAUACAUAUUUCCAGCCAGACUGGCCACUCUCCAGGCAUUUAGUAGCUGGUGUUCUGUGGCUAAUACCUUAUUUAGUAUCCUUUGCUUAUUCAGAAACAUUGGUGAUUACUUCUGUUUCAUGAUUCUGACUGAAUUUUCUUCCCAGGUUUAAAAAGCUUUAAAAAACACAGUAAAUGGGAGGAGAAGUACAGAAGACAGCCUGGGAAACAUGAAGUCCUAUAGGAGUGCUCUGGUUCCAAAUUCAUUGUCAGUGUAUUUUCUAAGUCAUUCUUCCAGAGACCUCUCAUUUGCUGGCUAAUGCAAUUAAGAGCCAGCUCUGUGAUUUAACAGCCUCACUUAAUGCUAUGAAUAUCAAAGUAACAGGCUGUAAUGGAUCUGUAAAACUGUACAGAGACCAUUGUCAACUCUGUGAGGUUGUUCAUGAGCCUCCUGGUCAGAAACAAAGAGUAAGUUACCAGCAGUAUGAAGAACACAACUAGAGUACCCUUGGAAAUUGUUAACAGUUUUAUCUGCAUUCAGAGCUGCUCCUUUUCUCUCUUUAAAUUCCAAAGCAAACCUCACUGAAAAUAAUUGAACUUUUGUUUUCCUUUUUAUUUAUUUAUUUAUUUAUUUAGUAAAUGCUAUCGUCUUUUCUGUUAAGGAUGAAGGGAAAUUGAAAACUUUAAUGAUUUCUUUAAAAUAUCUUUUAAGGGAAAAAAGCUCUGAUAUAAGUUUACUGAUACAAUUUCUGUAGCUUUUCAGAUAUCUAUAUUUCAUAAUGUGAAACGUUCUUUUACAUUCCUUGCAUGUCUCUGUGGAGUUCAAAUCUCAUGUAAUCCUCAUUUACUGGGAGUAAGAGAGGUGUAACCCGCUCAACUCUUGACUUUUGCACACAUAAAGCAGAGUUUAUAUACAAAAGUGCAAGCCUUGAUAGUUAUAAUGAGGUGGUAAAAUGUGAAGAUGCACUAUUGUAUCAUUUCUGGGUACCUCAUAGAGGGUACAAGUACAAAACUGCCAGAGGAAUAAGCAGGGCCAAUAUCAUUUAUAAAAGAUAAAAUCAGAGUGUGAAUUGCAAAGGCGUUGUGAAUAAAUUAAAAGAUGAAGUAUGAGAACUGAAUUUGGGAGACUGGUCGCCCACAAUGAACAGGUCUCCCCCAUACAGCCUUAUCUCAUACUUGAAGACUCUGAUGCAGCUGUCUGCAUUAAUAUAUUCUUCACUAGAAGGAUAUAAAUUUAAAAUUAAAGCAAUAUCCCUGCUCUCUAAUACUCAGAAAUAAUAAUAAUAAGAAAAACUAAAUAUCGUCUGAUUCUUUCAAUUGCUUGCUGCUGGAGUAGUAGUAUCUUGAAGUAUUGGUUAGAAAGAUGUUGAUGGAUUUUUUUAAGAAAUGUUUGUCCACAAAGCAAAUAUCUAAUUUUUUGGGGAGUGGUCUCAGAAUCUCUCAAUUCAUGUGUUCAUUCAUAUUAAUAUUUGACUUUAUUUAUAUGAUCUUGCAUAUAUUGAUUAUUAAUCAGUCACAGCUCUCUCCACUCACUGUGAACAUUAUAAAUGAAAACAACAUAAGACACUGCUUACUUAAAAUGAUCGCACUCCUACACCACAACUGUCUUUAAAUUCUAAUUUAAUUUUAAAUCAAACAUGCAAAUAAUAUUAAGCUUUUCAUUGUCUCUGCAAUUUGUUCAUAUCACUCCUUCCUGCCCCAAAUUUUUCUAUGUAAUAAACCUAAACUUUAACAUUUUUGCAGACCAGAGUGGAAAUUCUUAAGUUACUGUGAUGGGACACUCUUCCAGACAUGUUUUUCUGCACAGAAGAGCAGUGCCUACUGAUAUAAAAUUCUCUGUGACACCAUUUUUUUAAGAUACUUGCAGUUUGUGUCUGGGCAGGUGGAAUUGAAGACAUUACUGAUGCAACUAGUGGCAUUUUAUAUUAGAAGCUAGUUUAAUCCUCAAACUUCAAAUCUAAAAUUUUCCAAAAUGUGGGAAUGUGAAGGUUGGGAGCUAGUUUUUACAUUUAUGGGCAACCGGUAUGAUCUUACCUGAAUGAAACUCCAUGAUAUACCUUCAAUAAGAACGUAAAGCCUCCAUUAUCAAAUCAUGUGUUACGAUGAUACAGAAUGCAUUUGGCUAUAUAUAGACCUAUAUAGCUGUGUUUAAAUUAGAAGACAUCUCGGACAUCGUGGUGAAUCUAGCAUCUGCUUGAUCCAAGCAACUUUGUUUGUCAUAAGGCAAGAUUUAUAUCAUUCUAAUUCAGGUACCAACUCUAUCAUUUGAAGAGAUCAUGCUUCAGUAAGAGGAAGACUAUUGGUGUCUUACUGCAACACAGAGAAUUCUGGGCAAGCAAGCAAUUAAUUUUUUAAUGCAAUUUCUUAUUUCAUUGAAAUGAAAUAUACAAUCUGAUUUUCAAAUUAAGAGUAAACUAUUAAUUAUCACAGAAGUAUGAAUAUACAAAUAUAGCUCUUAGAUAUGCUGUGGUUUUCACAGAGAAUUAGUGAUUUUGGACUCACUUGGUACAGCAAACUCAGAUCAGACUAGACAAUAAAAAACAUGGCCUUCUGAAGUGGCCCAUCUCUCUCUUAUAGAUUAUUCAGCCUUCUAUCAAAGAUUGUUAUCAAUUCACACAGUCUUUCAAAGGCAGAAUGGGUGACUUUGACUUUGUCAAAGACUGGAUUGUAUUAACUGAAGCCCUCGCAAGUGCCUCUUCUGUAGCAAACUCUACAUUUUGGGGUCAGAGGUGAGCUCUUAUAUGAGUAGGAGGAAAAUUGUUAAUGAAAUUUUGCUCAGUGAGCUGUGUCAUCCUUUAUUCUUGCUGUGCUCCAGGCAGGUCCACACUGUCAAAUAUCAGAAGAGGCUGGAAAUGAGUGACACAUGUCUUCAAGACCAGAAAUGACAGUGACCUUCCAGCUCCUUUUGCGAAGUAGCAGGGGUGUUGUACACAGCUAUUAAGACCAGAAAUGAACUCUGACAUUUUAAGACUGUUCUGUUUGGAUUUUCACUGCUUCUUAUGGCAGGGGUUCAAACUCUAUUCUUAGUUUUCCCAGCACGAACUCACAGCAGUCCCUUCCAGGACACAAACCCAGAUUUACGUUGGUCUUGGUGAGGGCAGAAUUUGCCUGGUCAGUUUCAUCAUUUGGAUUGCUAUAUGUGCUGAAUACUCAAAUGGAAGCAAUGCUUUCAUAUCCUGAGUAGGGGAGAGGGAGUUGCCAUUCUGUCACCAUAUUAGAAACCAGAGACUCUCAGUUUAUAGUCCUGCUUUUUUUCUCCUCACUCACAAUUUUGUCUUUUUUUUUUUUUUUUUUCUGUGACAGUUUAAUUUUUCAGUACUGCAUGCAAUUUUGCAUAUGAUUCAUAUGGAAAUGAAGACAUAUUUAAUGGAGACUCCAGACACUGCCAAUAAGUAAGGAUAGGAAGAAGUGUAUAUCCCUACUUAUUUACAUUGAAAGAGAGAUAGAAGUGGUUGGAUCUUCCCUAUCUUUAGGGAAUUGUUUAUGAAGCACCUGUGGAAGUUGACCCAACAGGGGUCAGACAGCUAGAACAGUCCAGGAGUAAUUUUUUUUAUAACAUAAAACAAGACUGAAAUGAAAUGUUUCUGAUUUACUAGCCUUGCAUGAGCUAUUGUUGGUUUGCAUAGCAGUCACAACCAACUUACAUUUUUCAGUUCCACUUAGAAAAGAGGUAGCCUUUUCUGCAUGAACAUCACUGCAGUUACUAUUGUCCUGAUUACAUAAAAAAGAGACUACUGCAGAAAGAUGUGUAUGAAGCUGUAUCUACGGAGAUCCUAGAAUUUGAAAACUAGCGGAAUAUGUAGCAACCCAUCUGGGAAGAUAAAAAUGGAGCUAUGAGACAGUGAGGGUAUAAUGACAAUUUGUCUCCUUAUGGUUCCUCUGGCAGUAGCUCUGGUAUCAACUUACUAACCACUCAACAUUUCUGUACUCUCCUUUUCCCUCUGGAGGGAUCCCUUGGAGGACAAUGGAGAGGUGGGCAAUACUGGAAGCUCCAGACCUGGCACCAAUGCCUAUAUCUUGAACAAACUACUCUGGCACACCUUUUCCAGCAUGGCUGAAACCUAUUGAAGUAUUCAACACAACCCUUUAGGGAAGGAAAGCAACUCCUGUCCUAAGGUAUGAAAUGUUCGAGAAGAUCCUAGGCUGAGAAUCAUAGAAUCAGAAUUGUUCAGGGUGGAAAAGACCGUAAAGAUCAUCAAGUCCAACCACAACCUAAUCAUACUACCCUAACUCUAACAUCCCUCUGCUAAAUCAUGUCCCUGAGCACCACAACCAAAUGGUUUUUAAAUACAUCCAGGGAUGGUGACUCAACCACCUUCCUGGGGAGCCUAUUCCAGUGCUUAACAACCCUUUCUGUAAAGAGGUUUUUCCUGAUAUCCAAACUAAACUUCCCCUGGCACAACCUAAGGCCAUUCAUUUCCCCUCGUCCUGUCACCUGUCACCAGUGAGAAGAGACCAACUCCACUCUCACUGUAAGCACCUUUCAGAUAUUGGAGGAGAGCAAUAAGGUCUCCCCUCAGCCUCCUUUUCCCCAAACUAAACAGACCCAGUUCCUUCAGUCUCUCCUCGUAGGGCAUAUUCCCCAAGCCCUUCACAAGCCUUGUUGCCCUUCUUUGGACCUGCUCCAGCACCUCAGUGUCCUUUCUGUACUGAGGUGUCCAAAACUGAACACAGUACUCGAGGUGAGGCCUCACCAGUGCUGAGUACAGGGGCAGGAUUACUUCCCUAGUCCUGCACACUACAUCACUCCUGAUACAAGCCAGGAUGCCAUUGGCCUUCUUGGUCACCUGGGCACACUGCUGGCUCAUAUUCAGCUGACUGUCCAUCAAUACACCAAGGUCCCUUUCCAUCAGGCAGCUUUCCAGUCACUCCUCCCCAAGCCUGUAGGAUUGCCUGGGGUUGUUGCGACCAAAAUGCGGAACCAGACACUUGGCCUUAUUGAAACUCAUACAGUCUACCUUAGCCCAUCGAUCCAGUCUAUCCAGGUCCCUCUGUAGUGCUCUUUUCCCCUCAGGCAGAUCAACACUCCCUCCCAGCUUGGUGUCAUCUGCAAAUUUACGGAGGGUGCACUCAAUCUCCUCAUCAGGAUCAUUAAUAAAGACAUUAAAUAGAAGCAGCCCCAGUACCAAGACCUGGGGGAUGCUGCUUGUGACUGGCCGCCAACUGGAUUUAACUCCAUUGACCACAACUCUCUGGGCCUGGCCACCCAGCAUUUCACACAGCGGAGAAUACACCCAUCCAAACCAUGGGCAGCCAGCUUCUCCACAAGUAUGUUGUGGGGGACAGUGUCAAAGGCUUUACUGAAGUCCAUGUAGACCACACUGACAGCCUUACCUUCAUCCACCAAGUGGGUCACCUUGUCAUAGAAUGAAAUCAGAUUUGUCAAACAGGAUCUACUGUUCAUAAACCCAUGCUGACUGGGCCUGAUCCCUUGAUUGACCUUUAAUUGGUCCAUGAUGGUUCCUGAGAUUAUUCCUUCCAUAACCUUCUCCAGCACUGAGUUGAGACUAAUAAGUCUGUAGCUACCAGGAUCAUCAUUCUGGCCCUUUUUGAAGAUGGAUGUCACAUUAUGGAGAAGCCUCUAUAAAGACUGCAGCUGUUCAUGACUGUCCUCUGAUCAGAAAAAAAAAAAAAAAAAAAAAAAAGAGCAGGAGGCAACUGUCUUAGGAAAGAAUGGUGGAGGAACAUUUCCUCAACUUAAAAGAUGGUACUCUGCUAGAAAGUACCAAUCAGUGUGCGACUGUACCCUGUGUUUAUCUCUUGGGUAGCUUGGUUCUGCAGUAAAUGUAUGUAAAGUGCCCCAAACUGUGGAACCCUCACAUAGACAAAGUGUAGAAGGAACUUAAUACCAAUAUUAAUAAAGCCUCAGUGAACACAGCAGCCCGUGACUUACUGCAGAGUGCAGAAUUCUGCUACACAGCAAAAUUUCUCUGCUGAGGAAAAAAAAACAGAAAGCUCCAGUACUUCUACCGUCAGAGACUGAUCUUUGGCAUGGUAUUUUCUAAAGAAAUGCUUGAGGUUGGAACUUUCUUUUCCCUGUUAUUUGCCAGAAACCAGACGUGUCAGUUUUCCAGUGUUUUAAAUCAGGGAUGUAUGAAAUUAAAUGGGACUCUGGUGACCUAGGGGACCACAAGGCAAUGCAGAGCAGUUUGGCAUCUGGAAGGGCAUUAUUUUGAGAUCAGUAAAGUAGUGUGUGGGAUGUCCACUUGAUCUUCUGGUUGAACUUGGGUUACAGUGCACUUUAGUUGUUUUAGAAACACAAGAUGCAGAAUGGCAUUUGUUUUUUUGAAGUUUGCUGUUAGAAAAAUAAAACUCUAAUGAGUAAAAUACAGCAGUGUUUUCUCAUUUCUAUUUGACCUAUUAAGUGCCAGAUCUACCAUAUAAUACAUUAUUUGAUAUAAACAGUUAUUCACAUACCUACCCAAGUAACGUAUAUGUAUAGACAGUGCCUGAGAAGUUGAUGUCUGUCUUUUUAAACAGGUUUAAAUGGCCCUGGAGCAUUCUCCAUCUUCUUCUGGAAAGCAAACCUUUUCCUGGUUUUAUGUCUCACAGCCACAAGAUGAGGUCCAAAAGGAAAAAUGAUAGGAGUACGAUGCUUGAGAUUCACAUUGAGAAUCAGCACUGAUUGCUACAACUAUGUACUAAACAAAGUUUAUGUUUUUUUUUUUUUUUUGUCUGUUUGCAUCAAUUAACAUUUGUAUAUGUGAUAAUACAAGUGAUCCCAAUAUGUAACUAAACUUUCAUUGUGAGAUCUGGGAUAUUUUUCAGUUUUUAGUAAGAAUAUAUUUACUUUGUGGCAUUUAUUGUUUAGAGACACUGAUCUACUGAUAUUUCAAAAGUAAUAAAUAAAUAAAUAAAUAUUUACAUUAGGAUGAUAACUAAAAUAAAGAUUUAAUGCAGAAAAUUGAUCAAUAAAUAAAUAAAUAAAUAAAUAAAUAAAUUCAGCAGCAAAAUUACUUAAAACAUCCUGAAAAUAGAAAAUGAAGAGUUCUACUUCCAAAAUAUCUCUUGGAAAAUACUUUUUCUUUAAUAAUCUGAUAGUGAACUGCAAAUUCUGAAUUUAAAAUUUAAUUUUCAUUCAAGUAGCAUAUUUUUAUAUGAAGAACUUAUGUUCUGUUGAUUUCUUCUUUUGUAUUUGGCAAUAUUGAAAACAGAUGCUCUGUUAAGCAUAACCAAGGGAAAGUUGUAACAUAAAUAAUAUACUAACCUAAUUAAAGUGUAUCUUUUAAAAUCUUGAUAAACUUAGUGGAGUCUGACUGUGAAAAAGAUCCAAAAUCCUUCAUGGAAAGGAAGGUUGACAAGAUUCACCAAAUGAUCAUUUUCUAAUGUAUCAAACAUAUCUGAUUGGGGUGCACUAAAUAGCUGGAACCAAAUUAAGCAUGUGUUAAAUUUAAUUUCAGUGAAAGGGGCUGAAACUAACUUUUUUUUUUUUUUUUUUAAACAGGCUUCAUCAUUCUUUCAUACACUGAAUACUUGCUGCAGUAUUUAUAAUUUGGUGUGUUCCUUAACCAUGAUUUGGUAUUUCAGAGAGUUCGCUUGCUCUGGUAGAACUUGAAAACAAAAGAGAAAGAACUCAGUUCUUACAUAUUUUCACUGGUAUACCAUUUUUUGCUGUGUACCACAUAUUUUCACUUCUCAAAGCCACCAUGCAAGAUGAUAGCUGCUGUCCUUGAAGAAAUCAGUGUUUGUUGCUUUAAUUUUGCUGUUAAACUGGCACUUUGUCAUUUCAGCUCAUCAUGUUAUGCAUGUAAUAAUGUGACAUGCUUAACUGCUAGCUUCAAGCUGAACACUUAAUAUUAGAUACACCUACAGUACUUUUAUUUCAGAAAGCUGCAUUUAGUCCUCAGAGCAUCUUUCUUCUCUGGAAAGACAAAGGCCAGGACCUGCAUUUUUUGACAUGGACAGUUUUGUUUUUACAUGUUCUGAGUAUAUAAAAACAUGAAUGACAGGAGGCAAUCCCACUCUAAGUGUCCUAUCAAAAGUAAAAGGUCACUGUGGAUUUUCAUAUGUAUGUGAGUAUGUGUGUUAGUGUGUGCUUUCAUUUGUGUUUCUAUGCUAAAUGUUGUCAAGUAUGUUACAGAGGUCAUUUGUGAUUCAUAGAAGCACUGCUCAGGGAUUUACAGAGUCCUCAAAUUCCAGUCUGUGGAUAUGCCAAGGAAUCUACCAGUUUUUUGAAUGCCUUACUCAAUAAUCUGUUUUUAAUACUUUUUUUCCUUGCAAUACGUUUUCACUAAAUUUCAAACAUGUUCAGUAAUUUGCUGAUCAGGAGAUAUUUUAAUCACUCUGAAAAAUAAUAAGUGUCCAUUAAAUUAAUUUUUGUUACAAGGUAAUAAUGGAAAAACAAAUGUUCUCCCCCAGAGCUGGUUGUGGUGAAGGCACACCUACUUACAGAAUUCUCAGCUCACUGCAGCAGCAGCUGCAGUGAAUCAUUGAGAAAUCAUUGCAGAAGUUCCAGCACCAGAACACAGCAAAGGGCAUCUAUAGGCACAGGUGUGCGCAGCUUCACAUUGACUGAAAAUUUAGGGCUCUCUAUAUCAAAAGCUGAAUCUGUCUAGGUUUGUGUUUGCAACUUGGAUAAGUAUCUGCAGCUGGCUAUAUUGGAAGAACAUAAUGAAAAAAAAAAAAGAAUUAAGGCAUCAGAACAUUAUAAAAACUCUGUAAUAGGAAACCAGAGUUGUUGUACAAGUGUAUAGUUGUGUUCUUACAGUCACCACUGUUGUCUCUUUGAUCCUGCAACAACAAUCACAGUCCAUGAAAGACAUCCAUACUCUGUUUGCACACAUAUUACCAGGCAUGUACAGUUUCAUGAACUGAGUGUGAUAUCUUCUUCAUUCUUCUUCACCCAGCUAUGUCUCUACAUCUUGUACCUGCAGCAGUCUCACCUCAUGUCCUCUUUUCUGUGAGCAUUUUACAGAUGAAGUUCACCAUGUCUGCUCCCUCAUCAAACAAACCUCCCUUAUCAACAAUGUCUUUUUUCAUUCAGAACAUAACUAAUUGAGAGAUCUGAUAAUAAGAUUCUAGCUGUUAAGGAUCUCCCAAGCUAAUAAGGGGUGACAAUGAAAGAGAAAAAACACAGAUUUGCACAUUGACUCUGGCCCACAACCCAGCUGAACCUGUCUUUCUUUUGAUGGUUAGAAGAAACAAGAAUGGCUUAGGAGUUUAUGGCUCUUUUAGCCCUCCCUGAUGAUCUUUUGAGGGAAAGGAUAAGGAGUAAUUACAGAGAGGUUACUUUAGAAUCAUGAAGGGAGUCUCUCUGUACUUGUAAACUGUUUGAAUUGCAUUUCUGUCAGUCAUUUACAAUUGACCAUAUCUAGCUGAGGUUUCAAGCACAGAUUUAUAUACUUACCUGGGCAAAUGUAUUUCAGUCACUUUAAAAGUAGUUGUGGAUUAUAAUCCCCUUAUGCCCAUUUCUUAAAUCAAAUGUAAUGCUUUCGAAAUAGAUUCAACACUUUUGAGUUAUUCCCACCCCCCACAAUCAUGUUUGAUUUGGUUAAUCAAGGUUGAACAGUAGGCUAAUACUGGAAGGUCUUUUAAGUAAAAUAGUUUCUGUAUUAAUGAGAUCCAGUCCAGUUCAAAUUAAAAAAAGAAUUUUUUUUUUUUUUUUUGAGGGAAAUGUCCUUUCUCCUGUUAUUAAAAUGAAUGGGAGCAGUGAGAUUUUUUAAGAGGGUUUUUUUUUUUUUUUUUUUUUUUUUUUCCCCAGCCUAAUUGACUUGGAUUUUGCUCAUGUAUGGUAGGUUAUGUUUUCUCAUUGUAGAAGCUUUUUCCUGCUAAAAUCAUUCCUUUCACUAAUGAGAUCCAUCCUGAUAUGACAGGAAGACAGCUCUUAAAACACCCACCGUUUUCUCCCAUUCAUUUGAAUAGCAGCAAAGGGACAUCUUUUAAAGUAAUUUUUAUCAGUGAGAUUGAGCUGAAUCUCAUUAAUAAAGAAAUGAUUUUACUCAAAAGAGCCUUCACAGUUGAGCUAUAACUCAGAUUAGUGAGAUCUAGCCUGAUUAUAACUUUAUAAGACAUUGUACUUCUGCCAUUCAAAGCAUGCAUCAGCUAUGUAGGGACCAUUGAUUCCUGCAAAGGCUGUUUCAGAAGGGUGGGUGAGAAAGGUGUCUGGAGGUGUCUUUCUCAUUUUUUCAUGAACAUGGAAAGUGAAUUCUUCCUUCUGUAUAUUAAGACUGGUUUUCACUAUAUGUAUUUUUAUUUUGAAGAGCAUAAGGGUGACUGAAAUGAAGAUGUAAGGUGAAGAAAGAGCUCAAUACCAUCCAGUGGAGGAUUGUCCAGGUACCAGGACACCACUAUUUCAUGGUAAAUUCUUUAUGCUGACAUUUAAUUCACAAUAAAUUUGGUUAAUGCACAGAACACUGAAUAUGCAUGAAAACAGCAAGCCUAAGAAGUUAAACAAUCACAACAGAACUUCACAGCAUAGCAAAGUGUUGCAUACAACACCAAAAAGGCAUAUAAAAAAGAAAUGAUGUUAUAUAAGCAGCUUUUCCACUCUAUGAAUCCCUGAAUGAGGCUUCUUAUUAGUUGUUUUCCUAGAAGCAGCUAUGUCCAACCUGAACCACGAGCAGCUACAUCAAGUUGGACUAAGUUAAGAAUACCCUACUAAAUACUACCCAUACUAAAACAUAGAACAUCUUUAUGGAGGGAACCAAGAUUGUCUUGAAUGAUAUUUUGAGAAUAUCAAAUUAAUAGGCACACCACCUUGAGAAACAGCUGCUAGUUGAAACCUCAUGUCAAUAAGGAUGUCUGAAAGACCAACUGGCCACACCUGGGAAGGUGUAACCAGAGGUUAUAACAUGGGCAGAUCACAAAAGGGAAAAAAUGCAUUGGUCAGAGUGAGUUUGAGGUAUUAGGUGGUGAUAGAGUUUACAGUAGUAAGAGAUAUGGGGAAAGUGAAGGAAGAUUUUCUAAUUCAGAAGGAUUGCAUGUGAAUGAUGACAGGCAAUGGAAGCUCUAGUGCUGGGCAGCAAAUCAGCUCUAGGGUUGAGGUUAGUCACUGAAAGGCUUGCUACUUGCAUAGCAGUACUUCUACAGACAUGUUUUUGCUCCAGAAACUGUUAUAUUGCAUACCCUAUGGAAAAAGUGUAGUCUUUGCAGGGGUUUUCAUAAUAUUCUAUUCCCUACAGGAGAGCAAAAUUCUAUUUGUUUUGCUAUAUUUAGCAUGGUGAGUGUCAUCCCCCCCAACUUUCAGUCUCCCAACCUUCACUAUGACUGAAAGAUUAAACUUGAGAGUCUUUUAUGAGCUCAUAAACAAAUUAAAAAUGACAAUGAGGUCUAGAUUGCUCAGGUUAUUUGUGUUAUGAGCUGUCAUUUCUUAGGUGAAGAUCUCUGUUUUGUGUAGAGUUAGUACCCCAGAGAAAUAAGCCAGACCUUCCUACUCUCAGCUGCACAUACCUUUGUUUUCUGCAGAAGGAACCAAGAGUAGCUGAGAAGGGCUCUGAUAGUUCAGAGACAGAGAGUGUUUGACAUAAUUUUGCAUAGAACCUUCUUGCUUUACCACCUCCUCCCUUAAGUGCACACUACAUUCAUUCACACAUUAAAAAUUGAAGUGUAAUAUUCUGCUGCCUGGUCUUCUUAGACAUUGUCUUUGUUCAGUUCUUAGUCACUGCUGGAAUGUGCCAAGCAAUGAAAUGUCAGUCUUUGAAAUAUAGUUCUUAGGAGAAUUAUUUCUCUUAAGCAAGUUUAACUUUAGCUUAUAAUAAUAUUUAAUUAUGUCCUAUUUAGUAUUGUUCCCAUUUUGCUUCUAUCAGCAUUCAUUAUGAAUGCCACGUUGCAUCUCAACCCCUCUGCCUCUGAAAUUAAUGUCAAUGCCAAUAUGUGGGUAUUACUAAAUACAGAGAAUGCAUAAGAAUCAAUUCAGCCAGCACUCCUCCACUUUCUCCGAAUUCAUUGUGUCACCUCCGCCUCCAGUGGCCUGUCUUGAAGAGCCCCUAGGUAAUUCUUGAAUACAUGGCACUGCUGCCCCCAGGCUCCCUGCAAUGCAGUUGUGCAAAGUACCCAUUCUUCUGUGUGUGUGUGUGAGAAUAUUUGUAAGCCAAGCAAGAGGAAAACGCCUGAUAUUUUCAUGAGCAUAUGAACAUUUGAUCCAGAGGGAAGGUUCGCAUUUUCCACCUCUGCUUUUUAAAGUGGAAAUUUUCACCUCUGGGCUAAAUAGUUAUUCUGUUGUGAGCCUGCUUCAGGCAGUAAUUAGGGGUGGAGGAGCCUUAAAGGCCAGGUUUGGCUGACUAUUGUAAAGGACUGGACAUUAAGCUGAAAUCUGAAUUGUUUUCUGCGUAGAAUCUUAACACAGAACAGCAUUGUGACCCUUUGUGCUGCCCAAGCCCAUAAAUCCCACAAGGUAUUUUCAUUCUCACCUAUGUACUUCUCAGCCUGCUAAUGUCGCAGUGGGUGAAAAAGAUCUAUCAUAUUGACAGAAAAUAAAUGUAGGAAAUGUUAAAAAGGGUUUAAUGCCUUCUCAGCUAUAUUCUCACAGUUUUAUAUAUUUUUUUAAAUGUAAAUAAUUCCAGAUAUACAUGGGGAUGCUGAAAAGAUAGUAAGAUUAGGCUAGCUGACAACAGUCUCAAAGAGGAAGAUUUUGCAAAGAUUUCUUUCCUACCUAAAAAUCCAGCAUCUUUGUCCCUACUUCUGAGGUCUGUGUGCAGUGACUGGUGUCUGACAGCCAGUGCCAGUUGUCUCUGAUGAGUUCACAGGUCCAUCAUUUCAAGGAAGGGUAAAAGGUAGAAGAGAAAAGGCAUUAUACACUUUCCAAUGCUUUAGGUAUCUCUUAAGAAAAAUGAAAAUAUUCCUACAGAACUGUUGUGUCAUUUUCUAAGUUGUUGGACCCCAUUCCUGAGUGAGGGCUUUCUGCAUACAUUUGUGAACUGAGACUUUCUUCAUAAAGAAAGAUGAAGAUACACUAAUUAGUUGUUAGCUCAGUCUGUUUUUUACCAGUUUCUCUCAGUCCAUGAAUAAGAAGUGAAUGAGCAGAUUAAUUCCUUUCGCUUUCCCAUUUGGAAAGUCAAUUUUGUUUGUAGUUUGUUAACAAAUGGAAUUUUAAUUUAUUUGACAGAAAUCAAAUAUCCUGGUUUUUAUCAUCUUGAUUUAAAAAAAAUUAUUAAGAAUUGCAGUGUUUGUGGCAAUAAACCUUCAUUUAAGUCCUAAUGGAAAUUUUUAUAUAUAUGUAUAUACAUAUAUAGAAAGAUAGAUAGAUAGAUAGAUAGAUAUACUUAACUAAUGGUUCUAAUUGAUUUAAGUGGUAGCCAUUUUUAAGUGGCCUGCUAUUGGAAUGGAUGUUAGAUAAUAAAAAGUUGGACACUAAAUCUUUAGGAGACUUUCAUGUACAAAUCUACACUUCAACUGUGAAAUUGUUCUAAUUCUUGAGUUAUCAUAUCAGAAGUUUUAAAUCUGCAAAAGAUAAAGAAUAAAGAAUAUGUCCCAAGUUGCAUGUUCUCUUCACCUUCUCCUGUAUUACACCCCCUCCACAAGAAUCAAAGGCCUCUCUCCAGUACCUUGUUUACAAAUGCAGAUGCCAUGGCAACUUGCAGUAUAUUUGUUCUAACAUUUGAACGUAUGUUGAACUUUUAAAUAUAGCUCACAAGACAUUUAGCCAAAUUAAUUGCUCUACAAAGUAGUUUUGGAAUUAUAAAGAAGAGAACAGAUCGAACUUCUGAUUAGAGGAUGUUUAUGGGCAAGCUGCUAUAUGGAACAAUUCUGAUACAGAAGCUCCAAGACAGUUGCCGCAUAGUAUGAGUAUAGUUCUAUAAACCAUAGAAACAAUACCAAUUAUAGUCAUCACAUUGUUGAAAUGUGUACUCAAACUUUUAUGCACAUGAGAUAGUCGAACCUAUAAUAUUUUCUAACUACAUACCCAAUUAUUAUUCAACAUAAAACUACUAUUCCUAUUCACAUUAUUCUGAAUAUAAUUCAUAUUUGUUGCAUUUGUUUAUAUGAAAACUGGCUUUAAGGAACAAGAACACUGUGCAAGCCAAAUCUGUUGCAAAUAAUUCCACUGGAUUUCAGUAAGCUCCUCUGACUGGUGUUAUUUGAAGUUCUAGGCUGAAGUGUUUUGCAGGCAUUUAUUAACUUUACUAAGACUUGUGAAAACGUGAGACUGUUCUGCAAUGUUCAUUGCAGUGAUGUUAGAGCAAAAAAGAAGUAGGGCUAUUAGAUGUAAUGUAAAGGAAUUUUUUUACAGGUCGCAGUGAAUACACAUGAUUCUCAUGUGCUUACACACAAGCUAUCAACACAAGGACUAAACAUCCUACAGUUUCCCUAAAAUUGUGUCUUGAGCAACUCAGCAUGGAAAGCAGGUGAGGUGACUGCACUACAGUGUGUUUUUAUUUGAUAGCUAUUUUUUUUCCCUUGUGUGUAGCUUAUUCAGAAACAUGUUUCUGAAGAAAAUCUGUUUUAUCUGGAAUUUGUCUGAAUGAUACAAUUGUGAUGUUACCAGCAGCGAUGUCCAUGAUACCAACCCUAACCACUUAGCAAUCAUCAAGUAAGUGUAAUUGCACUAGUUGAUUUAUUUCAUCUACAGAUUAUGUAAUUGCUUAUUAAAAAAAUUGCUAGGAGCAAUCGUCUCCAUCCAUGCUAGUAACCAUGUAUUAUAAUCAUGCCAGUAGGUGAAAAUACAUAGAAUUUCCUUCCUCUUUAAGCUAGAAGACUCUCCACCUAUGUAAAACUUUCUUACUUAGGGGGGAAAACAAAUGACUUCUGAGCUACUUACAGUAAAAUCAACAUACUUGCAAUUCAUUUUCCACUGUACAUUGUGCCUAUGGAUAAAAACAUUCAAAACCAGCUGAAUUUCUCUAAGUGCCCAAUAAGCAUUUAAGUAUUAGACCUAAGGUUAUUUGUUAUUUUAUACUGUAUAAAGGUGGGAUAAAAAAUAAAAACUAGAAUGAAAUACCUAGAGACAUCAGGACCACUAGCUGUGCUGGAUAUAAUUUCCAUUUUCCUUUUCUAACCAUGAAUUCACAUGACUGAAAUGUUUCUUGUAUGUGAUAUAAUAAAGACUACAGUGAAACCUUGUUUCCUCUUAGACGGUAAUGUGUGAUAUCAUGGCAAUGACAAGCAUGAAUGAGAUGCCAACAUUUGGCACUCUUUGGUGAGUAGUGAAAACAUUAUCAGUGAGAGGUGUCCAGCAGCGUUAAAGAGUAGCCGAAUCAGGACAAGUUCAUGUAUGAGUCAACAUCAACUUGAUAGAAUUUCUGCUUUUGGCAGUUAAUGUUGACAAUUAGUACAGUGCCCUUAUUAUAUAUGCGAGGGACUUGAGUUCCUUGAGUGGACAAAGAGUACAAAAACCAAGGAAACAGCUGUUGGGCACAUAAAUGUCUUGUUGGAAGACAUGAAUAUAUUUGGAAAGAUAGGUUUGUGUUGCUGGCCUUAAUCCCUUCCCUUAAGUAUCUUCUUUCUGAUGGUCAGACAUAAUAGUGCAACUGAAUAAAGGGAAGCAUUUUUGACUGGCUAGUGUACAUCAGGUCCCAUAUACAUACUGACUGAAUUCACGUUACUUGUCACUUGAUACAGUUAUGAGAUCUGAAUGAUUUUCAGUCACUUCAGUGAAGGCUGUAUUUGAAACCUGGUCCCAAAGCCGCAAGGCAAGUGUAUUACAUACCUGUCAACUAACAAGACUUGCCAAAAUGAAUCUACUCAUAUGAACACAUGAUCAUUAUUGCUGUUCACACUGUGAAACACUACACACUGUGACAAAAGUAGAAAGCAAGAGGAUUAUUAUGCUAGACAGUCACUUAUUAAAUAUAUUUAUUGUGGAUAAAUGAAUAUUCCUUUACAACAAAAAAUGUAAGCUGUUGAUAAAUUUCUAGUAUUGAAAAAUGUGAUAUGGGCAAUUUAGUAAAACUUGACCUUAUUCUUUUGUAAAGAAUAAGCAAAUAUUUACAUUCCCUUGACUGAACAAAGAUUUUUUGUGCUGAAGACUACUAAAUAUUCCACACAACAAGCACAAGUAGGAGCAAAUGAAUUCAGCAAGCACUGGGACUACUCAGGCCAAAUUUCUUUACCUUUUCAUUGAAUAUUUAAUCAUUAAUUACAUCUGAGUUAUAAACUACUUACUAGUUAAAAAAAAUUGUCACAUCAGGGUAAUGUUUGUACACUGCAUGAAUUUUAUAUGUUUGCAUGAAAAGGAUGGAUUAGUGAAAUGGUGAACAAGACAUUCACUGAAAAAGAGCUCCUUGGGAUGGAAUUCUGAAAUGUACUUUCCUAUAUUCAGUUUACACAGAAGAGAGGAAAAUCUAAAGGUAUACAACAAAAAGAUUUAGAAGUUUGUUCUACUGUCAAGUCUAGAAAAUUGACACUCUUCCAGAUGUCUUCAAAAACAUGUGGACUAAGAGUUGUAUAGUAAGACUAAGGAGUUGUCAAAGAUUCCAGCUAGCCACAUGAGAAUUAAUGUAACAGAAACUGACCAGGUCCUUGAACAAUGUUAGUUAAUCAUAUUUCCAAUAAAUAAAUAAAUAAAUAAAUAAAUAAAUAAAUAAAUAAAUAAAAAUUAUGAGCAGAAAAAUGCAAAAUGCUUUAGAAUGCCUCAAAAAGAAUAUGAAAUGUUGUAUUUGAAGAUCUAUACCGCAAAUUAACACUAUAGUUGAUAAAAUGUUAGUUUAUCUGCAAAGUGCUAAUCUACUUCAUACUAUUUCUUCUUACAGAUUUCAUUAAUUUGAAGAUAUAUUUGCUCCCUCAAAGAUGAAAAUGUUAAUAGAAAUGAGAGUUAAAACUCACUGAGUUCAUUAGGCUCCCCAAUUCUCCUUUGGUUCUGAGUAACAUCUCUUAGAAGCAUUUCUUUUUCUACAAGAAGAAAGUAGAAAUAAAUCUAUUCAUUGCUAUUGAAAAACUGACUACAAAUAGCUGUGAGUAGUUUUGUUUGAGUUGUAUCUGGUAUGAAUGACAACUUCAAAAAGUAAUGUGUAAUGUUGAGCAUCCUCAUGGUUUCUAUGUUAAAGUUUCUAGUGAAUAGUUUAGAAGAUAGAAAUUGUACAGCUUAUAAACUUACUAAGGUUUUGUGCAAAAAAUCGGAGUGGUGUUUGAAUAAUUAGUUAAGGAUGUAAUGCAAGAUAAAUAAUAAACAAAAAUUUUGAUAAAAUCAAGUUUUUUUAAUCACUUUCACAGAACAAGAGAAAAUAUCACCUUUUUUUUUUUUUUUUUUUCUAAUUUGAGUCUCCUAUCUUAAAGGAAAGUUAUUAUUUUCAUGAUCAUGGCUCAGCCACAGCUAUCUUAAACACUAAUGCUUUUCUCCAGUGUUUCAUGGAUUAUGAGUCCUUGGUACAAAAACUAGACUGAACUGGCUACUAAUUAUCUCCUCCUUGUUCUGCUGGGUCUUUCUAUAGCUCUUGUCACUACAAGACCCAGAUGACUUCUGAAAAUUUUCAUUGACUAUAGAACUUCCUCUAAUUAAAAAAUAAAUAAAUAGAAAAAAACAAAGCAGAUUAAUUUCCAAGUAAUCCUUCUCUGUGAAAUCUUUUCAGUUCCAUCAGUUCUUUUGUCUAGCUUACAUGUUAAGUUAAGCAUAGGUAUUGAUAGUCACAUCAAACGGCGCUGUCAAGGUUAAAUAAGUAAUGGUCCUUCAUUUUAUUUUGUACAAGACCUGGAUUUUAUUCUCAUGCCUUUCCAUACAGUCAAAUUAUAUGGGUAUUUUGAUAGACAUGAUUAUUGAAGGAGAUCAUUAAAGAAGUUUUGAUCGAAGGCACUCUGGAUUGUAGUGACCAUACCCUAAAUGAGUUCACAAUCUUAGGGAAUAUGGCCCUGGCAAAAAGCAGAGUCAGAAUGUAGAACUUCAGGAGAGUGAACUCCUGGCUUUUUAAGGAAUUAUUAAAUUGGAUCCCCUGGAAGACUGUCCUUAAAGACAUAGUAAUGGAAUAGAGGUGGCAUCUCUUUGAAGACAUCUUUCUGAGAGGACAAAAGCUCUGCACUCCCGAGCGUAAGAAAUCAAGCAGAGAAGGCUGGAAACUGGUAUAACUAAGCAAGAAUCUGCUGGACAAACUGAAGGAAAUAAAGGAAAAGAACAGGCAGUGGAAGCAGGGACACACGGCGUAGGAAGAAAACAGGGAUGACAUCUGAACAUGCAGAGUUUCAACCAUCAGGAAAGCCAAAGUGAGUUCUUUGCCUCAGUCUUCCCAGUCAGUCAGGCUUCCCAUGCCUCUUACAUUCCUGAAUCUCUAGGCAGGGGUUGGGGUAGCAAUAUCCAAGCAAUAGGAAGUCCAAGAUUACCUCAUAAGACUGAAUGUGUGUAAGUCUAUGGGACUGAAUGGCAUGUACCCCAGGGACCUGAUGGAACUGGAUGAUAUGGUUGCCAAGGCACUCUCCAUCAUAUUUGAAAAGUCAUGGCUGUAAGGCAAAGUACUUAGUGACUGAAAAAAAAAAAGGAAGCAUCACUCCCAUUUUCACAAAAGGGAGAAAGGAAGACCUGGGGAACUACAAGCUAGUGAGCCUAAUCUCUGUUCCAGGGAAGAUCAUGAGGAGAAGAUUUUAGAAGCUAUGUCACAGGCACAUGUGAGUUGAGGAGGUGAUCUGAGACAGCCAGCACAGCUUCACCAUGGGCAGAUGGUGCCAGACAAAUCUGGUGGCCUUACAUGAUGGAGUGACAGCAUUGGUGAGAAAAAGAAGUGCAACUGAUGUCUGCUACAUGGACUUGUGUAAAGCCUUUGGUAUGGUUCCACAUCACAUUCUUAUCUCAUAAUUAUAUAGAUUUGACGGGUGUACUCUGGUGAAUUAAGAAUUCUUUGGAUGGUCACAUGCAGAGGGUUGUUGUUAAUGUUGCUGUGUUCAGGUGGCAGGUCAUGGGUGGAGCUGCUCAGUGGUCUAUCUUGUGUGACAGAACAAGGGGAAAUGGCUUCAGAUUUAAAGAGGGGAGAUUUAGGUUAGAUGUUAAGCAGAAAUUCUUUACUCAGAGGGUGGUGAGGCACUAGACACAACCAAAGAGGUUGUGGAUGCUCCAUCCCUGGAGACAUUCAAGGCCAGAUUGGAUGGGAUCCUGAGCAGCUGAUCUGGUGGGUGGCAGCCCUGAUCAUGGCAGGGGUUGCAACUACAUGAUGUUUAACAUCCCUUCCAAUCUUAGCCAUUAUGUGAUUAAUUCUAUAAUUAUUAUUCCACUAGAGAACAUGGAAUGGGAGACAAUAAGUAACUGGAUUAGUAAGGUGAUUUGCUAUAAAAUGCACACUUACUGAUCUGCAGUCUUACAUCCUCACAUCCAUUUGUUUUAAGUCCUGUAGUGACAGUAAUGAAAUAUAAACUGGGACCUCCUCACAUCAUUCUACAGCUAGAAGAAUAUAAAGCAGACAAUAACACAAAAGUCAAGCCCAUACAUGCAAAAUAUGCCUGCAAAUUUAGGACCUUCCAGUUCAGCAUAUAUAAAUUAGUCAUCUUCUGUUUUAGAUACAGAAAGGCUUUUCCCUCACAAGGCUAUAUCAUACUGUUAUGCUUGGCACAAAACACUGCCAGGAUAACUUUGGGAAGAUAUUUGAUUUUAAAAGUUUUUGUUACGAAUCAGACAAGUAAGCAAGAAAUCACAAAAUCACAUAUCACUCCUGAUUCUAAAUAAUUCAGUGUUUGGUACAAGGUAUUCUAAUAUCUUUAAAGAGUCGACUAAGUAUCAUUAUACUGUUGUGCAUUGCCUUGAAAAACAGAGAAGCAACUCAAAAUUGCAAAAAAAUAUAUGAGCAAAGUACAGAUGAAAAUGAGUCUCCCCAAAUUUUAAGAUAUUGAUUUAUUAUAUCAAAGUAGAUGAUUAAUUACUGCUGUCACAAGAGCUUUGUGCACAGAUACAAACUUAUGUAUGUAUGGAAAAAUCCCAUUUUAUCUUCCAGAGGAGAAAUAUCAGUUUUGUGACUGAGGAUAGCAAGAUUGGAUAAGAAUCAGUUUACAAUUAACUACUAUUUACCAUUUAUAUACUUUUUUCCUUCAUAUCUUUAUAAAUAUUUCAGAGACUUAUUUUUGUCCCUUCGCAUUUUCACCUUUGAAGAACUAUAUUUAGGUUCAGUGAAUAUCUGUAGUAAAAUCAGAUUUAGACCUAGUAUAAAUAAACAUCUGAAAUCUUCAAAACCUUCUACAUAUUGUGCUACACAUGUCUGUGAAGGGGGAGAGAGAAAUUAUGCAACUAAUAAAUGAUUUAAGAAUGUGAAAUGAUUUUGAAUUGGUCUGGUCAACAAGGAAAGCAGGCAUUUUUCUAAGGUAUCUAUCAUAUAAGUAUUGUAGAUUUUUUCCUACUUCUAUUGGCAGCUUCUCUUAGCCUGCUAUCAAUAUAUUCCUUUUGUUUGUGACACAAAAGGCUUCCCACUAUAAUUUAGCAGGUUUUAUUUUCAAAGAAAAAUCUUGCAUUCUUUCUCUCUCCGUGUAUGCAUAACCUUUAUGAGGAAAGCUUUUACUUAGUGGGUGUUUUUUUGUUGUUUUGUUGUUGCUGUUUUUUUUUUUUUUUUUAAUUUCACAUUUACUAAUAAUAUGCUUUUCAGAAAAAGUAGGUGCUUUUACAGCAUCAUACAAGUGCUAUGUUUUGAAGGAGCAAUAUAGCAGUAUGUAUCUUUUUGCCCUUUGAUGUAAAUUCGUGAGGAAGAUAGAUUAUAGCAUCAAGAUGUUUCUCUGUGAGUAAUAAACUACCGAGCACAAAGUUCAUGGCUGAGAAUUGUGUGGGAUACAAGUGACUACCUUCACUACAAUCAAUUAUUAGGAUGAUUAUAUUGUGUCUGGAGAAUAUGAUGCUAAUGACUAGCUAACGCUUAGAAUACACACUCUUGACUUGAAAACCAAUGACAGUUAAAUGCAGCAAAGGGAAAGGCCUAUAUGUUGAGCUAGCAGCUCUCUAGUGUUGAUAAUGAAUAAUUAAAAAUAACAGUCUUUAUGUGUGGCUUGACAGUAUACAUGUCCUUUUAGUAUAUUCCGCUUUGUAAAGAACUUGGCACAAUGACAGCCAAAGAAAGGCAUCUUACCGCAUCCUGUACAGAAACUGUAUAGGAAAGCAGGGAGUUAAACACCCUCACUGCUGGGAGGGCCUAAGCAGGAUUAGCUAUGUAUUUACUGCUAACCUUCUACUACUCUGUCUUCUAAACAAAUAAAUAAUUGAAACCCAUUAUGUCUUUUAGGGGAGUUGCUCACAUGCUUUCUAUAUUCACAUCAAAGCAGAGAUCAGUGUCAAAGAGGCAGCCACAUUUAGCUGAGUCUCUCGGAGACUACUGAUUAAUUAGUUUUGCAUUUUGGAAGUGCAUCCAAAGAUGUAAAAUAGCGUUUGUUUUUACUAUUGCCAAAACUUGUUUAGGAGCUCUCUGGAGGGUGACGGUGAUGUACUCAAGAUGGUUGUGAAAGAAAAGGGCAUACAGUUCAGGUGCCAGAAAUCUCCAACCCC